GCAGAGUAAGUAAAAAAAUGAUCACAACUAAUAUUGUAGUUCUUGGGUUGCCUCCCAAGCAGCGCCUUUCUUUAACGUCUUUGGCUAGACAUGGCCUUCAAUUGUUUAAAUCUCUCCACUUGGAUCAUCAAGGAAUAAAACCUCCAUUUGCUCAUUAUUAAACCCUUCGUAAUAAGGCUUUAGACGGUGACCAUUGACUACAAACCUUUUCUCCGUCUUAAGACUUUGUAUUUCCACUGCACCAUAAUGAGAAAUAUUAGUAAUAACAAAUGGACCAAUCCAACGGGAGCUGACAGGUCGUCAGCCUGUGCAACAAUAAUAAUAAAUAUAGAACCUAGAUACCACUAAAAGCAGUCAACAAUCAAUCCUAGGUACUGGAGCAGGGACUCUAGGUGUGCAAUGGGUUACUUGAUUCACCCUGUUCCCGAAAAGUUUGCUUAACCCGAUAUACCAGAAUUAAUUAAUUGACAAAAAUUACUAAAUAGUAGACAGUGGCAAGUAGGGUCGUCUCCUCAGGGACUGGGGAUAUCUGUCUCUUUUUAAAGUCCAAUUGAUAAGGGGGGAUUUCACCGGAAUGAAACUAAAAAUAAUUACACAAUUUAAUUAAAAAUAAAUAAAUCACUAGCACAAGUAAAACAGGAAUUAAAUCAAGAAUAAAUAAAUUCUAGCCAAGGAUACAACUACUCAGGCACAGUCCAAUCAUCCGAUCAUUGAUGCAAGAGAGGUUCACUUAAUGUAUUAAUAGGCUAGUUAUAGUCUGACGACCAAUUUUUCCUUAAAUUAUAGAUGACCAAGGUACGACCAUUAAUCACCUCUAACCAAAAAAGUACUCCUAGGUACGACCGUAGGAAUUAAUUUUCCAAUUGCAUUAAUAACUAGAAAAACCUAGCCCUAACCAAUAACACGCUAUGAGGGUUAUUUAAAUUAGAUUGCACGUUCCCCUAAUGUGUAAACACACCAGUUGCCACUAACAUUAAUCAAUCAAACAAUUACGGAUUUAAUUGACUAAAUUGGCACGAGAUUAAUAAAUCACAUUGAACAUCGGGUCCUUGACAUCCAAUUAAUAAAAUAAUCCCAUGAAAAUUCAAGCAGAUAACGUGCAAAUAUUAAUAAAUAAAGGAACACGUGAAAACUAAUUAGAUCUCACAGAUUUUCGGGACUGCGCCGUCGAGUUGACCCUUGACUAGAUGGAAGAUUUAGCCACGCCGCAUAAUUAAAUCACCACACGAAUUAAUGGAUUGCAAAGGCAUAGCGUUUUCUAUUAAGAAGUAAGGAAUAAAAGGUGUUUUUUCCGUUGGGGAAUUUUGUCGAACACCUGGCGUGUGUCAGAGGCUAGUCAAAAGAAGGAAAAACUUAAAACUACACUAAAAGCCUAAAAACUAGAGAUGUCCCUGCUACUCUACGUUAUCUCUAUUUAAGCAAUAAAAGAAAGAUGGCUAAAGGCUAUCUAGGUGGUCCCCACACAUGUGGACAAAACCUUCAAAGUACUUCCUUCCCCCAAGUCUCUUUCCGUAGCUUCCUUUUAAGAGCCCAAAGGAGUAGAUGCCUUCCACUAGCUUGUGGUCCCCCACCAAUUCAAGGGCCCAAGAAUUGAAUCCCUUAGAAGUCUCCCUAUUUUCCAUAAAGUCCUUCCUUUUUGAUGAUUUUCUGCUUCAUUCCUGAAAUUAAGUCCAGAUACCAAAUAUGAGUAAAUAUCAGCAAUUAACACAAUAUUUAUCAGGGAUAAAAGGGGAAAUCAAUAAUAAAAUUACUAACAAAUUGUACCCUAUCAAUUCCCCCCACACCUGAAUCAUGCUUGCCCUCAAGAAUGGGGACAACCCAACUCAAUAAUGACUAGCUUUCACAUUAUCAUUGCCAGCAGUGCUUAUACCCAAAAUCAAGAUUUAGCGGCUAAAUGUCAAGUCAUAUCUCACUCGGUUAGCUUCUAAGUUCAUAGACCUGUCCAAUUCAUGGCUAAUUCGCUUAGGAAAUCCAAAUACUAACUAGCAAUAGUCAGUAAUUAAGUCAACUGGCAACCAAAAUCUCAACAAUACGACCCAAGGAUCGGCAGGCUAACAUGAUCAUAAACUCACAUAUUCUGCACUUCUGAUUUCCUUUUUUUUUUCUGUUUUUUUGGAUUGCAAGAAUAAUGCUUAGUCCCGAGCUAUUCAAGUCUUUUGACGUGAACGCUGACAUUUUUAGAUGAAAGAGCCCAGUUACUCGACCUUUCAUAGCUCCAGGACUUUUUUACUCAUAGAUAUCGCUACUUUUUGACGCGAGAGCCGACACUUGUGGUGAAAGCUCCCGGUUACUAGGUAGCGACACUAGCGGAGUACAGCCAUAUGUUAUUCACCAUAAAACACCAAAACACCAAGUAAUUACAGAUCAUAGCCCGCGUCAUGUCCUAAAUAUGGAGAACUAAGGUAAACAGGAGACCAAACUACACAACAAUGCCGGUAAAAUAUUUAUAUUGCCUAACCAAGUUAGCCAUAAAUUGCACCAAGUCGUUAAUACUCAAAAUAUUCACCAAGUAAGCAUGCUUUUACUUGCCACUGCAACUCAACUCGUAGUACAAACCACCACUAACAAGAAAAAAGUGAGCUGCCAAAAAUAUUCACCAAGAUAGAAGCAAGGGAAAGACACUCAAAAGGGAUAAAGGAGCAACACCUAAACAGAAAACAAGAGGAAAAAUAAUAAAGAAACGAGAACUAGCACCCAAACUGAGACCCCCCCCACACCUAAACGACACAUUGCCCCCAAUGUGAAAAUAUAAUAGCAGGAAAAUGGAGAGGGGCAACGGUACUUCCCUGAAAUCGUCAAGACAAGGGUGGAUUAGGCGGAAACUGAGGUGGGAACCCAGCUUGCUGCAUAAAAGCCGCGAGAUUCUGCGCCAGAUUGUGAAUGUUAACGUCCAUGUGUUUUUGCCGAAUCUCAAGUCGCUCGACUGUGUUGCGGAGCUGGUUCCAUUCCUCAUGUGUAUGGGCGGAAUGGGGGGGCACGGAGGAAGAAGCACCGGGAUCACCGUCCUCAGUGGAAGCUCGGGCAGAAGAUGACCGAGGGGGGGUUCUAGAGGCCCCGGGGGGACAACCCCCCAACCAUUGUCGCCCUCCCGAACUAAGCCCAUUUUCUCCAAGCUUGGAAUAUCCAAAGGCUCCAUUUGACAGGCAAUAUGCAAGUUGUGGUUAGAAAUAUCAAGGACAUGCAAAUUAAUAGCCAAGUGAGUAAUGUAAGACCCAAGAAUCAAGGGGCGUUUCUUUUUAGGCAAAAUGGACUUGAAUUGAGACGCGAGCCAACACCCAAGAUUAACCUUAAUAUUGUUUUGCAUGCACCAUAUAAAGAAAAACUCCGACUUAGACAAAACGCCCGAACUAUCUCGCCUACCCGAGAAACUGUAAGCCAAAAAACGGUGGAUAUAGCGAGAGGCCGGGUCCUUCAGAUAGGACCCCUUUGAUAGACGAGGGUCAUAGUUUUUACUGUCUACAGACAUAUCAUCCCAAAGAAAGCGAUAACGGGAGAAAAACGGCUGGACAUAGUCACAUGCACUCUCGGCAUACUCCCUAGGCUCAGCAUAAGCUGGAUCAAUGAAACCAAAGGCCAGAUUGAAGUCGGUUAUGGAAUGGUGGAAUUCCUGGCCCAUUAAACGGAAGCGGAUGACAUCAGGGGUAGAAACUGUGUAAUUAGUGGGAAGGUCAAACUCAAACGUGGCAUAAAACUCCCUAACCAACUCGACAAAAGCCGGGAGGUCAGUGAUACGAGAAUAGGGGCGCCACCCGAUGGCUUCAAUCAAAUCGUGAAAGGGGACACUAAUAUUUAAAAGGCCCAAGGUGGCGGGGUCCCGAUAACGACAAGGAAUAAUCCGUCGUUCACAAGCCGCUUCAUAGCGCCGCUUGUCGGCUGCCCGGGUGAAGUCCAAAUGACCCCCAAAAUGUUCAGGGUCAGAGAUAUGGACGCCUCUUUGUCGCCCAAGACGAGCCCGCCUCCCAGAGGAGGAAGGGUCGUGCGAGGGGUCAGAGGCGGGAAUGGAAUGCUUGGGUGGAGGGGGCUGAGGAGUCCUAGGGGUCCUAGACUUAGAAGAAGAUCGGGGCUUCACCAUGGUGACCAACAGGCAAACCCGAAACAACCAAGUAGCAAUAUAAGUGUCACGGGCGCCCCCAAUAAGCAAGUAUAAGCGUCACGGGCGCCCCCAAAUUCAACCAGCAAUCUCAGCAAUAAAUGGUGAGAAUUGAGAGACAGUUCAGCACAGAGAAUGAAGAAAUGGAAAGCAAUACUGCCACCAGUACCACUGGUGUAAAGACAGGAAAGCAAUGCAAGCACCCUCAGGCUAUAACAAUCCUCAACAAGACAUCAAAUGCAAUUAAUAAAGAGCAACAGUCCCAAUAGAAUCCAAUAUAAGACAAAACAGCCCAAGCGUGCAAUACUACUCCAAAUAACCCAAGUAGGUUCAUUAGGCACAAACAAUCAGCAAUCAGCAAAGGAAGGGACACAGUAGCCCUCCAAUUCAACAAACAGACGCAUAAAAAUGCCCAGCCAAUGUCACUUCAAGGGCCACGAGUUAAAAAUUAACAACACAAACCACGAGUGAUAUCAACAGGGACCCCAAAAGAGCAAUGAACUCAACUAUUUGAAGUAAGCAGGACUCAACAAAUGUCACCACUUGGACAGCCAAUCACUCAAUUAUAAUCCAGCAACAACUGAAUAUAAUGUAAUCACAGGGAAGAGUCACAGGGAAGAAUUGAAUCAGACGGCCAACCAAAUCCACCAAGAAAUCCAGACAAUCACUAAACAGCCCCAGAAAUUAGAAAUUGACAAAAGUACCUCCCUUAUGCCCAACCGUAGACAGCGGGACAGUGAUGGGGCGCAAUGGCGCGGCUGGCGGCUGGCGGCUGCUCUGGUGGGGUGAACGAGGGAGGACAGGGCCGAGCUGGGAGUGGCGGGAUCGGUGGUGGAAAGCUCGGCGAUUGUGCUGAUGCGGUGGUGGAGAGAGCAGAUCUGGCGGGGGGAAAGGCGCGGCGAGCUUGGCGGCGAUGGAAGCGGGUCAGCGGCGGCGACUGGCUCUGCGGAGUACAGGCACCUCGUGGCCGUGGGCAACGUGGAGAGAGGGACCAUGAGCUGGUGGAGCUCGGGGUUUGACGGCCAGGCGCGCUGAUGGUGGCGCGCGAGGGUGGGCAGCCGCGCUUCGUGGAGAAAACCAAGGCGUCAGUGGCGGUGGUCGCGGACAGCCGGCGAUGGUGGCCUAGGGCGCAGUGGAGCUUGGAGGCGGUGGCGGCGCGCGAAAGCUGGUGGCUUGCGCGUCACUGUGGGCUGCAGGUGGCGGCGGACUGGUCGCUGGGCUGCGCGCGUUGGUGGCCUAGGGCGCAGUGGAGCUUGGAGGCGGCGGCGGCGGAUGAAGAAGAAAAGAACAGGGGAAAAAGAAAGCAGCGGGGAAGAAGGAAGAAAGAAAAAGAAAAAAAAAGAAAGAAAGAAAGAAAGAAAGAAGAAAAGAAAAAAAAGAAAGAAAAAGAAUUUUUUUUUUUUGUUAUAUAAACAAUGCUUACGAAAAUCUGAAAUCUGAAAUUGUUUAUUUUAAAUUUUAAAAAAAAAAUUUUUUUUAUAAAGCAAUAACAAAAACAAAAAUAAUAAUAACAAUAGUAAUAAAUUUUAAAUUUUAAUUUUAAAUUUUUUUUUUUUGAAUUCGUGUUUUAGGUCGUCAAACACCGCGUGGGCACGGCACGCCAAGAUUGGUCUUCGUCCUCUGAUCUCAGGAGACACAAACACCGCGUGGGCACGCCAAGAUUGCAAUUCAUCUACUGAGCUCAGGAGGCACCAACACCGCGUGGGCACGCCAAGAUUGCUUCAUCUCUGACCUCAGGAGACACCAACGCCGCGUGGGCACGCCAAGAUUUCACUUCCUGAUUCAGUGAAGGAAAUAUUAGUAUUGAUACUACCCAACGAGUAAAUGACCCAAUGCAAAAGAAAAACACUAGAAAUACCAAAACAACUAGAAAUAACAAAACUAAUAUUCGGGUUGCCUCCCAAACUAGCGCCUUUCUUUAGUGUCUUUGGCUAGACAUAGCCCAUAAUCUGCUUAAACCAAGCAAAUUGGGUCCUCCAAAUGCAUCAUCUCUACCCGCUCAACUGGAACCUCAUCAUAAUAUGGCUUGAGGCGAUGACCAUUCACCACAAAUUUCUUCUCCGUCUUUAGACUCUGGAUCUCCACUGCACCAUAAUCAAAGACAUUAGUUACAACAAAGGAACCAAUCCAACGAGAACGUAGCUUACCUGGAAAUAACUUCAAUUUGGAGUGAUACAGUAGAACUUUUUGUCCACAUUCAAACGUCUUCCUAGAGAUCUGUUGGUCAUGAAAAAUCUUGUUUUUCUCCUUAUAAAUCACAGCAUUCUCGUAGGCUUCAUUGCGAAUCUCCUCCAAUUCUUGUAACUGUAGCUUCCUUUGAAUUCCGCCCUCUUCGAUACCCAUGUUGCAUUGCUUGACCGCCCAAAAUGCUCUAUGCUCGAACUCGACAGGGAGGUGGCAUGGCUUCCCAAAUACCAAACGGUAAGGAGACAUGCCGAUUGGUGUCUUGUACGCCGUUCUAUAUGCCCACAAGGCAUCUUCAAGUCUCACACUCCAGUCCUUCCUAUCAGGUCGAACCAUUUUUUCCAAAAUCGACUUGAUCUCCCGGUUCGAUGCUUCCGCCUGACCAUUUGUCUGCGGAUGGUAAGACGUGGAGACUUUGUGCAAGACCCCGUAUCUCCUAAAAAGUGCAGUAAUUGUCUUGUUGCAGAAAUGGGUACCCCGAUCACUUACAAUUGCUCGCGGCAUCCCAAAUCGGACAAAGAUAUUAGACUUGACGAAUUCUGCGACUACUUUGGAAUCAUUAGUACGGGUGGCCUUCGCUUCCACCCAUUUCGAGACAUAGUCUACAGCAAGCAAUAUAUAUAAAAAGCCAAAAGAUGAAGGAAAAGGACCCAUAAAGUCAAUACCCCAAACAUCAAAAAUCUCAACAAAAAUCAUUGGGGUCUGGGUCAUUUGAUCCCUUCGAGAAAUAUUACCUACUCGUUGACACUUAUCACAUGACUUACAAAAUAAGUAGGUAUCCUUAAAGAGGGUCGGCCAAUAAAAUCCACUCUCUAAAACCUUACGAGCAGUCCUCUUUGGUCCAAAGUGACCUCCACAUGCGAAAGAGUGACAAUAAGCUAAAAUAGAUUGGAAUUCAUUUUCACUUACACAUCUACGAAUGAUUUGGUCAGCACCACGUUUCCAGAGGUACGGGUCAUCCCAGAUGUAAGACUUUGCGUCACUCCUCAAUUUGUCCCUUUUUGCCUUAGGCCAUCCUGCAGGAAACUUGUCAGUAACUAGAAAAUUAACCAUAUCCGCAUACCAAGGCAAAGACAAAUUAAUAGAAAAUAAAUGCUCAUCGGGAAAAGUUUCUCUCAAUGGGAUAUUAUCUUCUUCGACUUGCACUCGACUUAAAUGAUCCGCUACCAGAUUUUCAGCCCAUUUCUUAUCCCUGAUCUCCAAGUCGAACUCUUGGAGCAGUAGUAUCCACCUUAUCAGUCGCGGCUUCGCCUCUUUUUUGGUCAACAGAUACCGCAGGGCUGCAUGAUCAGAGAAAAUAAUAACUUUAGCACCAAGUAAAUAUGACCGAAAUUUCUCUAACGCAAAAAUUACAGCUAAAAGCUCCUUUUCGGUGGUCGAAUAGUUCAACUGAGCCCCGUUCAAGGCUCGAGAGGCGUAGUAUAUAGCAUAGGCUGCCUUCCCCACUCUUUGACCCAGGACCGCGCCCACGGCAUAGUCGCUGGCAUCGCACAUGAUCUCGAACGGUAGGUUCCAAUCAGGGGGUUGGAUAAUAGGUGAGGAGGUCAGUAUCUCCUUUAACCUAUCAAACGCCCCCUUACAUGACUCAUUGAACUCGAAGGGUACCUCUUUCUGCAAAAGUUGGAACAGGGGCGCUCCAAUCUUGGAGAAGUCCUUUAUGAAUCUCCGGUAGAAACCUGCGUGACCCAAAAAAGAACGUACCUCCCGCACACUCGCGGGGUAAGAUAAAGUAGAUAUAACAUCUAUUUUUGCCUUAUCAACCUCAAUACCGCUAGACGAUACCACAUGACCCAAAACUAUCCCGUGCUCGACCAUAAAAUGGCAUUUUUCCCAAUUGAGUACGAGAUUAGCUUCUAUGCACCUUAUUAGAAUUAAUUUCAGGUUAUCUAGGUAGUUAUCAAAACUAUCCCCAUACACACUGAAAUCAUCCAUAAAAACCUCAAUAAUCUUCUCAACAUAUUCUGAAAAAAUACUUACCAUACAGCGCUGGAAGGUGGCAGGUGCAUUGCAUAGCCCAAAUGGCAUCCUCCGGUAUGCGAAUGUUCCAAACGGGCACGUGAAGGUAGUUUUCUCCUGGUCCUCAGGUGCGAUAGCAAUCUGGAAAUAACCUGAAAAACCAUCCAAAAAACAAUAAUAAGCUCGACCUGCUAAUCGCUCUACCAUUUGAUCAAUAAAAGGAAGGGGAAAAUGAUCCUUUUUCAUGACGGCGUUCAAUUUCCUAUAAUCUAUGCACUGCCGCCACCCAGUGGGCUUCCGGACUGGCACGAGCUCACCCUCCUGAUUUGAUUCUACCGUCACCCCUGCCUUCUUUGGGACCACCUGUACUGGACUUACCCAGGGGCUAUCUGAUAUAGCAAAAAUUAUCCCCACAUCCAGUAGUUUUAGGAUCUCUUUCUUCACUACCUCCAUCAUGAGAGGAUUCAAUCUCCUUUGAGCCUGCCGAAUAGGUCUAGCGCCCUCUUCGAGUCGAAUCCGAUGUGUACAUACCGCGGGGCUAAUUCCCUUGAUAUCGGCGAUAGUCCAUCCUAUCGCCUGCUUAUGGUCCCUCAAAACUCUAAUCAAUUUGUCUUCUUGGACUGUUGAUAAACUGGCGGAGAUAAUCACUGGGAGUGUCUCCCCCUCGCCUAAGUACGCAUACUUUAGGUGUUUUGGCAGCGGUUUCAACUCUAAGACAGGCGCCUGCACCACAGAUGGAAGUAGCCUUUGGUGAGGUUCAGGUGUAAACACGGGUGCGAGGUCAUACCUUAUCUUUGUGGUUGGCAACGUCUGCAACGUUCCAAUCACACAUUUGAGCUCUUUACUCAACUCUAUCUCAGCGGUCAUCUCUGACUCGAAGUGCCUGGUCAAGGCAACUUCCAGCUCAUCCCUGCCUUCAAUUUCGAAAACUUCACGUACAGUAGAGUCAAUAGCAUUUAUAGAGAAGACAGAGCUAGCAUGUGAUUCUGACGGAUACUUCAUAGAUUCGAAAAUGUUAAAAUGAACAAUCUCACCAUCAAAUUCCAUAGAUAGGGUGCCCUUAUUAACAUCUAUUUUAGUUCGAGCUGUGCUUAAGAAGGGUCUACCUAAUAGUAAAGGUGAUAGGUCGUGAGAGUAUUCAUCAUCCAUAUCAAGCACGUAAAAAUCAGCAGGGAAAACCAAUUCAUUAAUUUUCACUAAAACAUCCUCAAUCAACCCGUCAGGGUAUGCAUUGGUCCGGUCAGCCAGUUGGAUUAUUAUUCCAGUGUCUUUCAGAGGUCCUAACUUCAACGAGGCAUAUAUAGACUUGGGCAUCACAUUAAUUGAGGCUCCUAGAUCUAACAUAGUCUUUCCAAUCAAGAUAUUUCCUAUUCUACAAGGAAUAGUGAACAUACCUGGGUCACCGCAUUUCGGUGGAAGCUUUCGUUGCAGGAUCGCUGACACAUUUUCUCCCACUACCACUCUCUCAUCUCCCUUCAAUCGCCUUCGAUUGACACACAGGUCCCUUAAAAAUUUUGCGUAUUUGGGUACCUGCUUAAUCGCAUCUAGAAGAGGAAUGUUGAUCUCCACUUUGCGAAAGAUCUCUAGGACCUCUUUCUCCUUGUCCUGCUUCCUUGGUUUCUCCAAUCUGCUUGGGAAGGGAGGUGGGUUGGAUCUAACUGGCAUGAGUGGGUCCGGGAUUACCUUUGAAUUUUUAUUGUCACCGCCCUCCUCUUCCAGCUCUUUUUCAAUUCGAUUUUCGUCCUUGUCCUUAGGAAUCAUCGGGUCAGGUCCUUGGACCUCCUUGCCACUUCUCAAGGUCAUGGCGCUAACAUUCUUCGGGUUUAAUUCGGGCUGAGACGGCAAUUUACCUUGGUUUUGGGAAUCCAAACGAUUGAUUGUUAUGGCCAUUUGACUUAUCUGAUUCCUCAUGUCCUGCAUUUCAGAGUCCGUCCUCUGCUGAUUUUGCGUGAGGGUUGCCAUCACUUGUUUCAUCAUCUCCUCCAAAGAUGGACCAGAUCUUGGGGGCGGAGGUGGUCGGGGUUGGUACUGCUGCUGGUACCCUGGUGGCUUAUUUGGCACGAAAUUAGACUGCCUGUUCGGUGUAUAGUUGGGCUGCCUAUUUCCUCCAUAGCUGAGAUUUGGGUGGUCCUUCCAGCCGGGAUUGUACGUAUUCGAGUACGGGUCAUAGGCUCUUCUUGGCGCGGGCGCGUGGCCAGCCAUGUUCACCUGUUCUGCAGUUUCUUCCUGAAGCAUUGGGCACAUGUCUGCAGAGUGUCCCAUACCAGUGCAAAUCCCGCACACCCUGGCCUGAGUUGCUCUCUCUACAGCCAGUUGCCUCACAAACGAGGUCAACUCAGUUAGCUGCUGCUGGACAGAUGGUGUCUCUAUCUCGUUCACCUUGCGUAUUGGGACAUCCUCUCUCGUACCGAAUUGUUGUGAAUUUUCUGCCAUCCCCUCUAUUAGCUCCCGUGCUUCCUGAGGGGUCUUGUUCACCAGUGCCCCUCCACUUGCAGCAUCAAUUAUGCUCCUGUCUCUGAAUAGGAGCCCCUCAUAAAAAUACUGAAUGAGCAACUGCUCACUUAUCUGGUGCUGGGGACACUUGUGUAACAAGUUCUUGAACCGUUCCCAAUACUCAUAGAGUGAUUCUCCUGGAUGUUGCUUGAUCCCGCAGAUUUCUUUCCUUAGGCUUGCAGCCCUGGAUGCAGGAAAAUAUUUAUCUAAAAAUUUUUUCUUCAAUUGGUCCCACGUGGUGAUGCUACCUGGUGACAGGUAGUACAGCCAGUCCUUCGCAGAAUCUUUCAGGGAGAAGGGGAACGCCCUCAUUUUUAUCUGCUCUUCAGUGAUCCCCGGGGGUUUCAUACUAUUGCACACGACAUCAAACUCCUGCAGAUGCUUAUACGGCUCCUCACCUGGUAAGCCAUGAAAAGAAGGUAAAAGAUGAAUUAGACCUGAUUUCAAUUCAAAGGAAGUGUUAUCACUCAAACUCGGGAAAGUAAUGCAUAAAGGCUGCUGAUUUAAAUCAGGAGCAGCCAACUCCCUUAAUGUUCGUGCAUUAGCCAUGAGAAUUUCUUCUUGCUCUGAGUCACUCGAAGAAUCACCAAAUGAAUCUGUUGGUUCAACUUCUGACUCAGGUCUCUGAGAUGUAGCACUGGAGUGCUCCUCUCUGAGCUGUCUGGUCUCUUUCCUUAUCCUACGCGCAGUCUUCCCUACCUCAGGGUCAAAAACCAAAUUACCUGUACGAGAAGACCGAGGCAUACACUAGAAAAAAUACCAGAAAAUUAGAGCGAAAAUGAACGUAAUAAAGAAACAAAUAAUGACGCCAGUCCCCGGCAACGGCGCCAAAAAUUGACAGGUCGUCAGCCUGUGCAAUAAUAAUAAUAAAUAUAGAACCUAAAUACCACUAAAAGCAGUCAACAAUCAAUCCUAGGUACUGGAGCAGGGACUCUAGGUGUGCAAUGGGUUACUUGAUUCACCCUGUUCCCGAAGAGUUUGCUUAACCCGAUAUACCAGAAUUAAUUAAUUGACAAAAAUUACUAAAUAGUAGACAGUGGCAAGUAGGGUCGUCUCCUCAGGGACUGGGGAUAUCUGUCUCUUUUUAAAGUCCAAUUGAUAAGGGGGGAUUUCACCGGAAUGAAACUAAAAAUAAUUAAACAAUUUAAUUAAAAAUAAAUAAAUCACUAGCACAAGUAAAACAGGAAUUAAAUCAAGAAUAAAUAAAUUCUAACCAAGGAUACAACUACUCAGGCACAGUCCAAUCAUCCGAUCAUUGAUGCAAGAGAGGUUCACUUAAUGUAUUAAUAGGCUAGUUAUAGUCUGACGACCAAUUUUUCCUUAAAUUAUAGAUGACCAAGGUACGACCAUUAAUCACCUCUAACCAGAAAAGUACUCCUAGGUACGACCGUAUGAAUUAAUUUUCCAAUUGCAUUAAUAACUAGAAAAACCUAGCCCUAAUCAAUAACACGCUAUGAGGGUUAUUUAAAUUAGAUUGCACGUUCCCCUAAUGUGUAAACACACCAGUUGCCACUAACAUUAAUCAAUCAAACAAUUACGGAUUUAAUUGACUAAAUUGGCACGAGAUUAAUAAAUCACAUUGAACAUCGGGCCCUUGACAUCCAAUUAAUAAAAUAAUCCCAUGAAAAUUCAAGCAGAUAACGUGCAAAUAUUAAUAAAUAAAGGAACACGUGAAAACUAAUUAGAUCUCACAGAUUUUCGGGACUGCGCCGUCGAGUUGACCCUUGACUAGAUGGAAGAUUUAGCCACGCCGCAUAAUUAAAUCACCACACGAAUUAAUGGAUUGCAAAGGCAUAGCGUUUUCUAUUAAGAAGUAAGGAAUAAAAGGUGUUUUUCCCGUUGGGAAAUUUUGUCGAACACCUGGCGUGUGUCAGAGGCCAGUCAAAAGAAGGAAAAACUUAAAACUACACUAAAAGCCUAAAAACUAGAGAUGUCCCUGCUACUCUACGUUAUCUCUAUUUAAGCAAUAAAAGAAAGAUGGCUAAAGGCUAUCUAGGUGGUCCCCACACAUGUGGACAAAACCUUCAAAGUACUUCCUUCCCCCAAGUCUCUUUCCAUAGCUUCCUUUUAAGAGCCCAAAGGAAUAGAUGCCUUCCACUAGCUUGUGGUCCCCCACCAAUUCAAGGGCCCAAGAAUUGAAGCCCUUAGAAGUCUCCCUAUUUUCCAUAAAGUCCUUCCUUUUUGAUGGUUUUCUACUUCAUUCCUGAAAUUAAUUCCAGAUACCAAAUAUGAGUAAAUAUCAGCAAUUAACACAAUAUUUAUCAGGGAUAAAAGGGGAAAUCAAUAAUAAAAUUACUAACAAAUUGUACCCUAUCAGGAGCGCAACUUACCAGGAAAAAGCUUAAGUCUUGAGUGAUAAAGUAAGACUUUUUGCCCUACGACAAACGACUUUCUCGAAACUUGUUGAUCAUGGAAAACUUUGCUUUUCUCCUUAUAAAUUGCGGAAUUCUCAUAGGCUUCAUUCCUUAGCUCUUCCAACUCUUGUAAUUGGAGCUUUCUGUGUCCUCCGGCCUCCAUGAGAUCCAUGUUGCACCGCUUGAGCGCCCAGAAUGCCUUGUGUUCAAAUUCUACUGGUAAGUGGCACGGCUUCCCAAAGACUAACCUGUAAGGAGACAUUCCAAUUGGCGUUUUAUACGCAGUGCGGUAAGCCCAGAGAGCGUCUUCCAAUUUCACACUCCAAUCCUUUCUAUCAGGCCUCACCAUCUUCUCCAGGAUCGACUUAACCUCUCUAUUCGAUAUUUCGGCCUGACCAUUCGUUUGGGGAUGGUAGGGAGUGGACACUUUGUGGAGCACACCAUACUUACGAAACAAGGCGGUGAUCGUUUUAUUGCAAAAGUGGGUGCCCCUAUCACUCACUAUGGCUCGCGGCAUUCCAAAACGGACGAAAAUGUUAGAUCUUAUAAAAUCUGCAACCACUCUAGAAUCAUUAAUCCGGGUGGCUUUUGCCUCCACCCAUUUGGAAACAUAGUCAACAGCAAGUAUAAUGUACAAGAAACCAAAAGACGAGGGGAAGGGACCCAUGAAAUCUAUACCCCAGACAUCAAAAAUCUCAACAAAUAAUAUGGGGGUUUGACUCAUUUGGUCUCUUCGAGAGAUAUUCCCCACCCUUUGACACUUAUCACAAGAUUUGCAAAACAAAUAUGCAUCCCUAAACAAAGUAGGCCAAUAAAAACCACUUUCUAGCACUUUACGAGCUGUCCUCUUUGGACCAAAAUGCCCUCCACAUGCAAACGAAUGGCAGAAAGUCAAAAUAGAGUGAAACUCACCUGCACUUACACACCUUCUUAUAACUUGGUCUGAACAUUGCCUCCACAGGUAGGGGUCAUCCCAAAGGUAGUGUUUGGCAUCACUCUUUAACUUAUCCCUUUUAGCUUUUGACCACCCUGCAGGUAAUUGAUUUGUUACCAAAAAAUUAACAAUGUCCGCGUACCAAGGUAUUGACGAAUCAAUGGCUAGAAGUUGCUCCUCAGGGAAUGACUCUCUCAACGGUAGAUCAUCUUGAUUUGUGAGCAACCGGCUCAAAUGAUCAGCCACCAAAUUCUCAGCUCCACUCUUAUCCUUGAUUUCUAGGUCGAACUCCUGCAGGAGUAAAAUCCACCUGAUCAGUCUUGGUUUAGCAUCCUUCUUUGCCAGCAAGUACCUCAAGGCUGCAUGAUCAGAGAAAACUAUUACUUUUGCAUCCAAUAGAUAUGACCUAAAUUUUUCUAGUGCAAAAACAACAGCUAGUAAUUCUUUCUCCGUCGUGGAGUAAUUAAGUUGGGCUCCACUUAAGGCCCUCGACGCAUAAUAGAUCGCGUGUGGUGCUCUUCCAAUUCUUUGGCCCAACACGGCCCCCACGGCAUAGUCACUUGCGUCGCACAUAAUUUCAAACGGAAGGUUCCAAUCUGGGGGUUGAAUGACAGGCGGCGAUGUCAGUGACUCCUUCAAUUUAUCAAACGCCACCUUACAUUCACUUGUGAAAUCAAACGGCACGUCUUUCUGCAGUAGUUUGAACAGGGGUGCUCCGAUCUUCGAAAAGUCUUUGAUAAAGCUCCUAUAAAAACCUGCAUGACCCAAAAACGAACGCACUUCCCGGACACAUACGGGGUAAGGUAGAGCAGAAAUAAGGUCAAUUUUAGCUUUAUCUACCUCUAUGCCCUUAGCUGACACGACGUGCCCUAAGACAAUGCCAUGAUCUAUCAUAAAGUGACAUUUCUCCCAAUUAAGCACCAAAUUCGUUUCUAUACAUCUUUUCAGAAUUAAAGCCAGAUUCUCAAGGCAUUCAUCAAAACUGUCCCCGUACACACUAAAAUCAUCCAUGAAUACCUCAAUUAUUUUUUCCACAUAUUCUGAGAAAAUACUUACCAUGCACCUUUGAAAAGUUGCCGGAGCAUUGCAGAGACCGAAAGGCAUCCUGCGAUAAGCAAAUGUACCGAACGGGCAUGUGAAUGUAGUCUUCUCCUGGUCUUCCGGUGCUAUCGCGAUCUGAAAGUAACCUGAAAAACCAUCCAAGAAACAAUAGUAAACACGACCUGCCAAUCGUUCUACCAUCUGGUCAAUAAACGGGAGAGGGAAAUGGUCCUUUUUAGUCACAGAAUUGAGCUUCCGGUAAUCGAUGCACUGGCGCCAGCCAGUGGCUUUCCUGACCGGGACCAUAUCACCGUCCUGGUUCUCCUCCACGGUCACUCCCGCCUUUUUCGGGACUACCUGGACAGGACUCACCCAUGGGCUAUCCGAGAUAGCAAAAAUGAUCCCCACUUCUAGGAGUUUGAGUAUCUCCUUUUUCACAACUUCCAUCAUCAGGGGGUUCAAUCUUCUUUGAGCCUGUCUUACCGGCUUCGCAUCUUCCUCGAGUCGAAUUCGGUGCAUACAUAAGGAUGGACUUCUUCCCUUGAUAUCUGCUAUACUCCACCCAAUUGUCUCCUUAUGCUCCCUCAGGAUCCGCACUAGUUUGUCUUCUUGACUUGGAGACAGGUGUGCAGAGAUGAUUACCGGCAGUGUCUCCCGGUCUCCUAGGAAUGCGUACUUAAGAUGCUUCGGCAGAGGCUUUAAUUCUAACUCUGGUGCCUGCACAACUGAAGGAAGCAGCUUUGUUUGAGCCUCUGACAUAAAAAGUGAAGUAAGUUCAUACCUUGGGGAUACGGGUGGAAGUGAGUGUAAGGCUUCCACAGCAUGGAGCAAAUCUCCCCGUAGGUCCACAUCAGGAGUUACACCCAACUCCAGAUGCUUGACUAGAGCCACUUCCAAAGCGUUUUUGCCAUCUAAUUCGAAAAUUUCCUGCACAAAAGGCUCAAUAACGCUCAAAGCAAAGACCGAGUUAGAUUCUUCUGGAUACUUGAUCGCCUCAAAAAUAUUGAAAUUCACAGUUUCACCAUCAAAUUCCAUUGACAAAGUACCCUCAUUCACAUCUAUUUUAGUCCUGGCAGUGCUAAGAAAUGGUCUACCUAACAGGAUAGGUGACGGGUUUAAUGAUUUUUCAUCUCCCAUGUCCAAGAUAUAGAAAUCUGCAGGAAAGACCAAUUCAUUUACCUGAACCAAGACAUCUUCAACUAGCCCCUCUGGAUAUGCAUUUGUGCGAUCAGCUAGUUGGAUUAUGAUGGCUGUUUCUUUAAGUGGCCCAAGGUUUAGAGAAGCAAAAAUGGUCUUUGGCAUCACAUUGAUUGACGCCCCUAAAUCUAACAUUGCUUUCCUGAUCGGUGUAUUCCCUAUCUUACAGGAGAUCGUGAACAUACCUGGAUCUCCACACUUGGGUGGGAGCUUUCUUUGGAGCAUUGCUGACACAUUCUCUCCCACCGCUACUCUUUCGUCCCCUCUCAGUUUCCUCUUAUGGGUGCACAGAUCCUUGAGAAAUUUAGCAUAUUUAGGUAUCUGCUUGAUUGCAUCCAGUAAAGGGAUGUUAAUUUCCACCUUUCGGAACACAUCCAAAAGCUCUUUUUCCUUCUCUACCUUUUUUGUCUUCUCCAGCCUGCAAGGAAAAGGAGGUAAGUUAGAUUUAAUAGUGGGCGGAGAAGUGAAGGCUACCUUAGGAUCCUUGCGAAUACGCCCUUCCUCUUCAAUUUCCUUCUCUAUCUCCUCUUCAUUUUUGCUUUUUGAACUUUCCACUUUAGGCCCUUCCAGUUCCUUGCCACUCCUCAGCGUCAUGGCACUUACAUUCCUGAGAUUCACCUCGGGUUGCGAUGGUAGUUUCCCAUAAACGUGGGACUCCAAGCGGUUGAUGGCAGUUGCCAGUUGACUUAUUCGACCGUCUUGGUCCUUCUUGUCCGCUUUGGUGUCCUGCUGGAGCUGCGCGGUAUUCGCGGCCAAGGAUCUGAUCUCCUGUUGAAGCUGGGUAGUAGUCGUGGCCAGGUUAGUAGUAGUCGUGGCCGGGUUUUUGACUAGAUCCUCCAGGGAGCUCCCUGAAUUGGAGGACGAGGGUUGAGAUUUUGGUUGCCAUGGCUGGCUGAAUCCUGGUGGACGAUUUGGAAAUGAAUUUUGCUGCCUGUUCCCAUAACUAAGAUUGGGAUGGUCCCUCCAGCCCGGAUUGUACGUAUUGGAGUAUGGGUCGUACUGCCUGCGGGGCGCGGGCACGCCUCCGGCCAUGUUUACCUGUUCUGCCCCGUCCUUUUGCAAAAUGGGGCACGAGUCUGUGCAAUGGUCCAUGCUAGUGCAGAUUCCACAUACUUUCGCUCGCGGCAUGUCUCUCAUGGCUAAUUGCCUAACAACCGAUGUUAAUUCUGACAGUUGCUGCUGUAAGGAUGAAGUCUCUACCUCGUUGACUCUACGGGGAGGGUUGCUCUCACGGAAGCCAAAUUGCUGGGAGUUCUCUGCCAUGGCUUCGAUGAGCUCUCACGCUUCCCUCGGUGUCUUGUUUGCAAGUGCUCCCCCACUGGCAGCGUCAAUGAUACUCUUGUCUGUUGAUUGGAGCCCCUCAUAGAAGUAUUGGAUUAACAGUUGCUCACUAAUUUGAUGCUGUGGGCAUCUAGUGCACAACUUGUUAAACCUUUCCCAGUAUUCAUACAGGGACUCACCGGGAUAUUGUUUGAUGCCGCAAAUCUCCUUCCUCAAGCUUGCAGCCCGGGAUGCAGGGAAGAAUUUUUCCAAAAAUUUCUUCUUUAACUGUACCCAUGUGGUAAUACUACCCGCUGGUAGGUAGUAUAGCCAAUCCUUGAGAGAGAAGGGGAAAGCUCUAAGUCUUAUCUGCUCCUCAGUGACCCCAGGAGGUUUCAUGCUGGAGCAAACUACCUCGAACUCCUUGACAUGUUUGUGGGGUUCUUCGCCAGAGAGACCAUGGAAAGAAGGUAGAAGGUGAAUCAACCCCGACUUCAGCUCGAAAGCAGUAUUCUCUGCCAAAGUGGGGAAUGUGAUGCAUAAGGGCUGAUGAGUCAACUCCGGGGCAGCCAGUUCCCUCAAUGUUUGGGUGUUGGCCAUGCUUACUUCGUCUUCCGCUGAUUCGUCUGCAGCAAAUAAGUGCCUUUCUUUUUGUCUCUUGGUCUCUUGCCUCCGCCUACGCGCUGCCUUCUCAACCUCAGGAUCGUAUACCAAGUCACCUGUGCGAGAAGAACGGGGCAUAAACUAGCAAAAAUACCAAGAAAAAUAAAAUAAAAUAAAAAUAAAAUAAAAAUAAAAUAAAAACUAAAUUUGAAAAGAAACAAAUAAUUCAAAUGCCAACUCCCCGGCAACGGCGCCAAAAAUUGACAGGUGCCGAACCUGUGCAAUAAUAAUUACUAAAAAGUCCUAAUUACCACCUCAAUUAAAUAAUUAUAGAACAAAUCCAAGUACUGGAGCAGGGACCCUAGGUGUGCAAUGGGUUACUUGAUUCACCCUGUUCCCGAAGAGUUUGCUUGAUCCGAGAUACCGAUGUUGUCUAUAAAAAUACUAAUUUUGCGUACAAUGGCAAGUAGGGUCGAUUCCACAGGGAGCAGGUAGGAAAUUAUUUCUUUCCAAAUCAGCAGAGCAAAAUUUGGGGGAUUUUCAAUGGGAGAGGAAUAAAUAAAAUAAAAGUAAAAUAAAAACAAAGCGAACUAAAUUCAAAACCAACUCACAAAGCACAAUUAACUAAAAAUAGCAAUUAAUAAAAGUUCUACCCAAAGGAUCAACUGCUCAGGCACUGUCCAAUUAAAUGAUCAUCGAUGCAAAGAUAUUUCACCCAUUCAUCACUAGAUUGGUUAUAGCUAUCAAUAAGGUCUGACAACCAAUUCUUCCUUACCUUUUCGACAGUCAAGGUACGACCAUUGAUUGCUUCCCUAACCAGAUAACAACCCUAGGUACGACCUUAGGAAUUUAAUUACCCAAUUGCAUUAAAAUUAGAAGAACCCAACCCUAACCAAUAAACACGCUAAGAGGGUUUAUUUAAACUAGAUCUUGCAUUUCCCCAUCAUAAAACCAAUUAUGGUGGUUGCCACGGGGUGUUAACUAAAUGAACAAUUACGGAUUCUAUUUAAUUAACGUGGCAGCAGGCUAUUAAAUUAAAUCAAAUACCCGGCCGUUGAUAUUCAAUUAAUAAAAUACCCAUGAACAAUUAAUUCAGGAAAUGCACGAAUAGCAAUUAAUCGGAGGAAAUAAUGAAGAUUCGGUUAGAUCUCACAGAUAUUAUGGACCGCGCCUUCGCGUCAACCUUUGGGUAGAGGAGGAAAUUAGCCGCUCCUCAUCGUUUCAAUCCCGCGUGGUUUAAUUGACUUCAUUCAAUUAUUUGCCAAGGAAUUGGGAAAGGGAAAUUAACUGCAAUAACAACCGAAAAGGCCCUGCCUUCGUCCCUGCUUCGGAGUCCCAAUUACAAAGCCAAAGCUACGAAUGAACUGUCCAGCGGAAAAGUUGAAAGUCAACAGAGAAAGGGGCGUCUAGCGCCUGGGAAAAGGAAAAAAACUAAAGCUAGCGUUUUUUAUUCGAUGUCAAAAUUCCUAUCUAAUUUGCUGCCCCCGAAGAAACAAAAGCGAAGGGCGGCGUCUGACAAAAAGUAGCCAAAAAGAAAACUAAAGCUAACUCCCGAUUCUGAAUCUCUUUUUCCUUUUUAUAUGCAGUGCCGCCCAAGAGAAGUCAAGAAGCAAACAGACGUCUGGCCCAAUUGAUUGCAAAAGGUAUCUCCUUUGGAGUUUUGAUCCCACGCUCCGGGUUCACGUGGACCACGGUCCGUCUUUCGGUUUCGUCCACCUUCCAAGGCGUGGUCACGCCCUGGGACGACAAGUCUUCUGGAAAUUUUUCCCCGCGAUAUCUUUUUAAUGCUAACCACCUACAAUUCACACAAAUGUCAAAUAUGAGUGAAAUCCCCUUCUUUAGCACCAUGAAUAGCCAAAAUUAGGACAAGAUGACAGUGCAAAACGUGCCAAAUAACGGCUCUAUCAAGCAUGCUAAUGGUGGUGGGAAGCAAAACUUCAGCAUAGUUAAGAAUUGAUCAUUUUGACAUGAGUAGUUAGAAUUGCAAGAACAAUAAUACAAUCAAUGGGAAGGGCCAUAAACUUCAGCAUAUUCUCACGCCACGUUAAAAUUAAGAAACAAGAUGCAGAGUUGGGCGUGCAAGGUAAAUUUGGAGAGCACAUUGAAGUUUCCUCUGUUUAUGCAGCCUGACUUAAAGCCCCAGUUUGUAAGGUAGAGGGAUUCACUCGGAAGAAGAUCAGCAUCUCAAUCCAGUUAAAACACCGUGGUAGAUGGAAGCUAGCACUUGGAGUUUGAUUAGUAUCAAAAGCAUAUUCAAUGACCUAAUUUGCAUCUAAAUUCUAAAUACAUGCAGCUACCAAUAGAUUUCGGUUAGAUAGUCAUUAGCUUGACAUCUUUUCACACUGUUAAAGGACACUCUGAUUGUUAUCUGCAUCCAUGCAAGCCAUCUUGACAGUUAAGAGGUACUAACAUUUUCAACAUUUGCAGCUAGUUUGGGAGUUUUAGACAGAAAAGAAAAGAAGAGAAAGCUCAAGUCAUGAAAGAAAAGAAAAGAAGAGAUUUAGUUUUGAUAUUGUUUGGGAUUUUAGUAAAGAAAUAAAAUGAUAUUGGAUACAUAUGCCAAUAAAAUUUUGUUUAAUAGACAUUUAAGUAUAAAUUUGGUAUUUUAAACAAUUUCAGAAAGCUUGCUUCAACUCUGUUUUGUUGGAAAAGUAUUAUUAACUGUAAAUGCAUCCAAAAUCUUCUCAUUUUCUCUUUUUUUUUUUCCAUCACUCCACAACUCCCAAACAUCAUAAAAGAGCUAUAUUCUCUCACUUUCUUCUCAUUUCCUGUCAAAUCUAAGCUCCCAAACAAAGCAUUGGUCUCCACAUGAUUUACAAUUACCUAACUUAAGCUCCAGUGUGCAAAAUCUAAUAUCAAAGGAUGAAUUACGUAAAUGUAACUUCAACGUCUACCAAUCUUUUAUUUCCUUUCUUUCAUUACUACCUCCAUUUGCAGCACCCUUCAUAUUUGAAAUUUUGCAAUUUUUGACAGCUAUGGUGAAAAAAAAAUAAUGGCUCUAAUGUCACAACACAAAUUUUAUUUCCACAAUAAUUUUUUGCAUAAACUACUAAAUUUGCCCUUCUCAGGUCCAAAUGUAGUUUGGACGUAAUGCGUCAUUUUAACAAAAUUUGCUCGGAAAAUAAAUUUUGAGCUAUGGCAAUAUGAUUUGUCCUUGCUAUUGCUACUUAAGCAAACAAUGACUGCAAAUCAUUAGCUUGUCCUCCCUCAUCUAUUGAUACAUGUGUCAAAUAUCUUUAUCAUUCCAUUAUCCAAGAAUUAGAGUAAAAUAUAUGCUUUAGUUUGCUAUGAGGGACUCAAUCCGUGCAAACACAAACAUUAGAGUAAAAUAUAUGCUAUAGGAUAGUAAUUUUUUUGGAAUUUUUUUGUAGGAAAAUAGACUGUAGCACUUGUUUUAAUAUGAUGCGUAUGAGCUAAAAAUAUUAUUAGAAAAUGUGUCAAGAUAUAUUCUUGGAAAAAUCUGAAAAAAUUUUCUACAAAAGAAUACAAUCCAAACAAGGUCUAAAGAUGCCUAACUGACAAGUAAGCUUCUUUUUUUUUUUUUUUUCUCAGAAACAACAAAAGUUAUAUUGAUAAAAUCAGAACUUUACCCUUGUAGAGCAACGGUUCCGAGAGGCAAUACAAAGGUGUUAAACACCUUGAGAAUUAUUCAAUUCCUCAUCACUACAAAUACCUACUACAUAAGUACUAACAUAUUUACUUAUAUUGUCAUUUGCUAUAUCUAAACAAAAAGAGCAUUUUUGCAACAAAGAGCUUAAAUUGUUGAUGUCAUCCAUCAGAGUGGCCAGCCUAAUGUCUUUGGUUUUUCUGGGGAUUAAUACCACUUUGUCCCCCCAAACUUUGGACGAUUACCCACUUCAGUCCCUAAACUUCAAAAUGGGACACUUAAAUCCCUAAACUUAUACAUACCUCCCACUUGGAUAUGUAGUUUGAUAGAUAAUGGAGGUUCCUUGGUAUAUAAGUUCUAGAGUUUCCUAGCUCGAGGUCUCUGCUGUUUCCACACAUUUUUGGCACAAGCUCAAACUACUCUAAUGCUUCUUGUCUUAAUAUAACUACUGAAUGUUGAUAGCUUGAGCAGAGUCUAUUGGAAAACAACUAUGAAUAAUCUGGAGGGGUCGUGGUUUGGAGGCCUGAUGUUUUCUUUAUGGCUGUUUAGAUGGGUAGAACCUGAAAAGGAAGCACGGAGAGGAGCUAUAAUGGAUGUACCAUUAUCUAGGACGAACAAUGACAUUGUCCAUUGGGCUACAUCAAAAUCUAUAAUGCAAUCUUUAACAUAUUUCAGGUUUAAUCAUUUGAAGAAAUUGUAUCCACAGUCAGCAUUUUCGUGAUCAAUAUGUCAAAACCUACAUUGAUUUGUUGUUAAAGCAUCUUCAUUUACAUAUAUGCAUUACAGGGAGCUCAUCCUUCUAAUCUUUUAAAAAAAGGACUGGUCUCAGUAUUCCUCUGAAUCUGAAAGUAAACAUAAAGAAGUAUUCACAAUCUUCUUUGAUCUAAGACAAGGAUUUUCAGAUUCACAUUUCCCCCGUUCAUCUCUUCUUCCUUAAUCUCUUGAACCAAACUUCCAACAUGGCCCGGACAGCGAUGCACCUGAAUCAAUUCAAGAGUUGGAAUUUCCCCCAAACAAGAAGGAAGCUCCUCCAAGUUCAAGCAGCUUUCCAAAACCAAUUUCGGAAGACAGGGGAGAUGAUCACCGGAGCACGUCCACCUGACAAUGCACAACAAUUCCAAUUUCAAGAAUUUGAGUUUAGGGAACUCCCCUUCUUCCAUGUUCCAUAUUUCUUCCCCACCAGCUUUUGUACCCAGUAAUUUGAGAACCUCAAGAUUAGGUAGUCUUCCUAUUGAGGAAUCAUACUCCAGGGAAAUACUUCCAGGGUCAACUUUUUUAGAUUCAUGGGGAAACUGAACUCAUAAUCCUUCUCUUUCACACCCUAAAAAGACAGCUUCACUGACUCCAGUCGUCUCAGAAAGUCCAUUGCCACAAUCCUGUUCCAAUCCCCACAAGAUUUUUCUGUUUCAGCGAGACCGCAUUUCAGUUUGCGGAUAUUUGGAAACUUCUUCAUUAUCUUAUCCAUGCUUUGCCCCAAAUCAAGCUCAAGACAGUAAGAGCCAUCGAUGAGGUUCCCUGUUGAGCUUUGGGCCUAAAAUCACUGCAAAGCACAAAUACUCAAACUCAAGACGGCAUAUAGCAUAGAAUAAAGCCAAAAGAAAUUUUCAGAUAAGUGCAGGUUCUGUGUCAUUGUAACCAAAGCCCUAAAAGAAAAAACUCACCAUAAAAGUAGUAGCACCAACAAUCAUAAAAGCAGAGAGAGCUUAAGAGCCUUUAUCAAGAUGGAUUCAUUAAGAGCAGCAAGCAGGGUUGACUAGCUACUGGAAUGCUUCAAAAUAGUACAACUUCAUUGCUUGAACAGUACAUCUUCCUUGGCUACCUCAAUAAUAUCUUCAUCAUGACACGAUUUCUUUUGUUUUAUGCAUAAUAUGAAAUUUUGAACCAAUACAUGAAAUUGAUGACCAAUAGCUGCAAAACCUCCUCGAUUGACCGUUGUCUUCAUGGGGAGAAAGCCAAAACAAAGGAAAAAUGUGUCAGAAAACCAUCAUAUGUGACUCUGAUAGCAAUUACUAAUCAAAUGGUUCAGAUAAGAUUGCAAGUUCAUUAUCAAGAGGUAAAAGUUCAGAGAAACCAUUUCAUCGCCUUAGAAUCACAAGUUUAAAUGGAAUGAGCUGACUUUAGCAAUAAUACAGAAUUGGACAUGUAAAAUCAACAAAACUAGACUGCCAGUUGUUUUAAACGUUGAUGGGCUAUUUGGAGGAAAUGCAGGCCAAAAGUUAUUGAGUUCCAGCCAUAAAGAUCGUGCUGAAGAGGCUUCAAAAUUCUGUCCUCUGUUCGUCUAAGCAAAAGACCACAAAAAUCAGCUAGGAAAGUACUGGAGAAAGGAGUGUGCUUUGGCAUACAAAAUGCAAUUACAUUUUCCACAGGUGAAAGUUCAGAGAACCCGUUUCAUCCUCAUACAAAUCGCGAGUUAAAGAGAGAGCUAAUCUUAGAAAUCAUAAUGUACAACAGAUUGGCUGACAUACAUGAUAAGCAAAGUCAAGUCAAAUCUUAAUUUCUUUAACAUGUUGCUUGAUUAGUUGAUUGUUUCACUUCUCUUUUAAGCAAAACUUGCUUUGGUCACCCAAGAAAAUCUUGUGCAUUUGGUUAUUAACUACAGAAACGAGAUAAUAACUCAAGCUUCCAAUGAAGUCAUGUAACCAUCGCCUGUUAAUGGUAAUGUUUAUAAAGUACCUAUAACUUUGAAUCAUGAUGCAAAAACCUAAGAAAGACACCAAUCAAAAAUGAAAAGAAGUACUUCAUGCAAUUCUUCAAUUUUUGUUAAGUGACCACCAACAUAAGAUUUACUGAACAUCAUAUAGACCAAGAAAUUUUGGAAUAACUAGGAAUCUUAUGGCAACAGAAUCAUUCUAGACAUGCUAUUUUUAGCUACAAAGAGAACAUGAAAACUCAGAAAAUCAUGUUGUAUGUAAUGGAGCUAAGAUGCAGCUUCAAGAAAGGUGGUGAGCAAAGCAAUGCAUAUAUCCUUGGAAGCAGACCCUCUAAAACUUUCAAACUCUUGUUACUUAAUCAUUUUUGUCACAAUACAUAUAUCACCUCAACUAAGGCAAUAAAUAAAAUUCUUCUUAAGAGUUUCACUGGAGUAUGUUCUCCUACAGAAAAAAGGAGAAAAAAUCUACAAUUUAAAUGGUCUGAAAUCUUUCUAUGUUAGCAAACCCACAUAUUUCUGUGCUGGGACAUACAUUCAUCUGACGCUUUAUUCCAGAAUAUAACACAUUAUUUGUUUCUAGCAAGUAAAUAAGUAAAUAAAACUUUUCACAGUUAAUGGUGGUGAGUACCUGAGUUGGAUGAGCUCAGAUUUAAAAAUCCCAAGAAAGCAUGCUGCCUGCAUUAUAAAUAAGAUUGAACAAGAAGUUCCAUUACGUUUUUGAGCUGGAAAUCUUACAGAAAGUAAGAGUUUCUUUUUGUUAGUUUUCACCCUAACAAUAAUGAGCAGGUAAUAAGACUUGAUACCAUACACAAAUAUUUAUUUGGUUAAAAUAAAUGUGCUAACCUCAGUGUUACUCUUGAAAGUUGGCAAAAACUCCAAUGGUUAAUGUGUGACUCUAAUACGAGCUCUGUUGCCAACAAGAUGCCAAUAAUGAUCAUCAGAAGGCCAUGGUAAUGAUGGUUUCAUAAAGUACUCCAGAUAAGUUGGGGCAAGAAAUUUUUGGCCAGCAGCUUGUACGGGCCAGUUACAGUCACUGAGCAAUCAAAAUCCAGACCUACAACUUCUGUAAUUUAGCGUCAGUUAGUUUCAAAGAUAAGAAGCCUGGAAAAAAUAAGCAAAUGCACAGUGUUAUAGCAUGUUAGUUUGGACAAUUGCACCUCAUGAUUAAAAAGGCACAUUGAGAGUGUGCAAGCUCCCAAGAUAAGGACAUCAGGCGUUGGCUAACUAAGGCACCAAGAUGAAAGAAAAGAGUGCCAACAUAAACAUUUCAGUCUAACUGAAACAGGAUCUGGUUCAACACAAUUCUCAAAGAUGCAUGCUCUGUAAUUAUUAAUUACCAGCCAUUGUAGAUUUCCAGUUGAGCUUUGAGCCUAAGGUCACUGGAAAAUAGAAAAUUCGAUCUUAGACAGUAUGUAGUGAGCAAGAUAUUUCAAAUAGUUCAGUCAAUCCAAUGAAAAGCCAAAAUCUGUGUCUUGUUGGCUUUUAAGCUAAAUAAAUAAGCAGUCACGUGUACAAUUUGCCCUACUCUUAGUCUACUCUUGUUCCAAGCAGGAAGUAAGUAAUUACAACUCAUAACCUGAAAAAACGGUGGGCAAUUUGUAACACAAUCACAGCAAAAAUAAUUUAAUAUCAGCGAUAUGUAUGGUGCUGAGGAAGAUUAAAUACAACAAGAAUUUACUUUAGUUUUGCAUGCAAUAGACAAUCAUAAUCCACUUGGCAGGAACUGGAAAAGGAGCAAGGUCAAGAGUUGCUGGUAUGAAUUGGAGGUCCAAAUCUGUGAUAAAAGAAGUGUGCUACUGCUGUAUGUGAUGGGAACAUGAAACAAGAAAAGUAUCUUCAAGAGAUUAAAUUUCAAAGCAGCCAUUUUUCCCCUGUAGAAUCUCAAUUUUGAAGAGUUUUUUCUGAGGUUUUAUGUUGAUUUGGUUGACCACUUGUUUAUGCGUACAUCUUUGGGUGACCCAUGAAAAUCUUAUGCAUUCAGAUGCUAGCUAGUUUAGAAAAUAUAACGCAGACAUUCAAUAAAUUGGGCCAUCACUUGCUGUUAUACUGAGAGAUAAAAGUCGGAACAGUGGCUUGUUUUCAUGCUAAUUCAUGGUUACAGAGUAUUAAGUUGUUAAGAGGGGGAAAAUGAAGAGCACUAAUGUUUUCAACCAUAUAAGAUAUGCUAAUUACUGAUACAAUAGGACAAGAAAAAGGGAGGAGAGAAAAUUGGGAAGAAUAACCACUGGGAAUUCAACUCUCUUGUUUUUUUCACGAGAUGGAUAAUCAGAGGAGGAGGAGAAGAGAAGGCAUAUCUCAAAACGACAAAGAGAUUGAUUGUAAGGUGAAUAAAAAGAAAUAGAGAAGAAGCAAUCUUACAUGAUUGAGAAGAAGCAUUGGGAUUUGAUUUAUUGACGAACUAACGGUUGACCAUCUAUGCUUAUGUUUUGAAUACGAGGAGGAACCUUGGACCACUCAUCGGGGCUGCUGCUCUGAGAAGUGAACCUUUCCUUUAAUAGUGGAGAACCAUCAAUAGACAGAUAUGUUAAAUUGGCGAGGCAACUUAUGGCAUCGGGUAAGGUUUCUACUUCACCAAAGUCAUGUAGAGCUAGUGAUUUGAGGGUGGUCAAAUCUCGGAGCUGACCUGGCAGAGUCUUCAUGUGUGGCAACCCACGUAAUUUUAGUACCUCAAGUGUGGAUGAAGAGGAGGAGGAGGAGGAGGAUGUCAAUCCAGACCAAUCAAAUUUGUUGUAAACCAGAGAAUUUUCUUCUUCAUCAUCAUCUGAGAAGGGACCAAUUGAAAGUGUCCUUAAACCAGUGAGGAAACCAAAUCCUCGGGGCGUCGUACUAGUUUUCAGAUUGGGACAUCCCCACAACUCCAUCUCUAAGAGAGAAGGCGUGUGUCGCAAAUCAAGCUGAAAGGAGGUAAGAUUGUGGCAUUCAGUCACCCGAAGCUUCUGGAGAGAGCUACAAGACUGCAGCAUAUCAGCGGGCAGAUUCGUCAACCCACCGCAUUUAUGAAUCGUCAGCUCCUUAAGAGACGUAAGGUUUUGCAGAGGAGGAAGUUGUCUGCAUCUGUUGCAGUUAUCAAAUCCCAAACUCACUAACUUGGGGAGUGUUGUUGGCAAAUCCAUUGACCAUUGAGGAAAUUGAUCCCCCAUGAAACCUCGAAUUUUCAACUCCUCCAGAUUGGGACAUCCCCGUAACUCCACCUCUAAGAGAGAAGGCGUGUGUUGCAAAUCAGGCUGAAAGGAGGUAAGAUUGUGGCAUUCAAUCACCCGAAGCUUCUGGAGAGAGGUACAAGACUGCAGCAUGUCACCGCGCAGACUCGUCAACCCACCGCAUUUAUGAAUCGUCAGCUCCUUAAGAGACGUGAGGUUUUGCAGAGGAGGAAGUUCUGUGCAUCUGUUGCAGUUUUCAAAUCCCAAACUCACUAACUUGGGGAGUGUUGUUGGCAAAUCCAUUGACCAUUGAGGAAAUUGAUCCCCCAUAAAACCUUGAAUUUUCAGCUCCUCCAAAUUUGGGUGGGGUGGAAGGCCAUCCAACACAUCUACGUCGUUGUAGUCGUCGCCUUCUCGAUCAAGGGCCCACUCAAGAUACAGCCUAAAUAGAUUUGCCUUUUCAGAUAGUUUUGCUUCCUCAGCUCCUUCCUUAUCCUUCACCAAUUGAAGAUUGCGUAUAACUAAUUUGCCUUUGAGGUUUUUCAAGAAUCCAAGCUCUCCAAUUCGUCGACCCUUCUUUCGACCGACGUUGAAGAACUCUAGUGUCUGAAGGCAAGUCAGCCGCCCCAUCUUCAAUGGCAUUUCAAAUUUAUCAUCAGGAUUCUGAUAGUGGAGAUGCCUCAUGCUGAUCAAAUUGCUCAUCUCCUUCGGAAGAGCUUUAAGAGUACCACUAUUUAGCCUCAGCGUCUGCAAAUUAUAGAGUUUACAAACAGAUUGGGGCAAAGUCCCACUUCCAGAAUCUGAAAAGUCAAUAAACCGCAAGUGUAUCAGUUUGCCAAUUGACUUUGGUAGCUUCUGAUUUCUUACGCCAGACAGAUUCAGAACUUACAAAUUCUUCAACUUCAUUAGCACAUCACCAGAUGAGCUACUGCUCCUUACAAACAAUGUAUGAAGCAAAGAAGUUUUUAGACUCUUAAAAAGUUCUUCUCUGUCUUCUCCAAGUGAGUCUACUGCAAGGUAACGAACCAGAUCACCAUUGUGUACAUUACCAGUCUCCCUAUCACUAAUGACUUUGGUAGACUUUGACAUUGACUUUGCAUGUUUGUGCGCCACAUCUUGCAUCUUAUAAUAUACUUCCCAAAAAUCAUGUCUUAUUUCUUCCAACAACCAACUCUCCCAUAAAAUUCUCAAAUGAUUCAUUCCAGUUUCCUCCAUCAUCGUUUGGUUAUUAGGACAUGUUGGGAGGAAACCUUCUGCCAUCCAAAGUUCGAUUAGCAUAUCCCGUUCUAUCUUAGUAUCCUUGGGAAACAUAGAACAAUAUGCAAAACACUUCUUAAUGGAUGGAGAUGAUAAAUUAUCCAAACUCAAAAGCUUAUCCAAAAUUGAUCCCGACUCCUCUUUUUUGUUUAAAUCUAAGUUACGUAACUGAAGUCCAAUUAGACAUGCAGUAGCUGGUAGACCAUCACAUCUUUGAAGUAUUCUCUCUUUAAUUUUUUCCAGUUCAUCAGGUGCUUCUUUUUCUCCAAAUGCUUUCUUUAAUAGGAUAUACCAACAAUCCUCAUCAUGUAGUUUUCUUAAGGCAUAGACUUCAUGUUCUCUCCUCAAAGCAACAGACACACUACGUGCCACUGAAUCUGAACGAGUGGUGACAAGACACCAGCUUCCAAUGGUUUGAUUGAUUCUCUCCAAGGUGAUGAAUAAGUCAUCCCACAAUUUCGGAUUAUCAUCCCACACAUCAUCAAGGACUAGGAAAUAUCUUUCUCCCUGUAAUUGACUUCCAAUUUGUUGAACAAUGGCAUUCCUAUCGUCCUCGCCAAAUCUUUUUCCCCGUCGUUGCUUCCCAAUUUUUCCAACGAUGCCAUUCCUAUUUUCCCUGUCAACCUUUUCUACCGUCAAUUGCAAUAAAAUGAGUUUGAAAAGCUCCUCUAUUGAAACUCUUUUCGAUACACAAACCCACAACUUUACGCCAAAUUUCCCCAUUCUCUGGUGGUUGUAUAUUGAUUUAACCAAAUUUGUUUUGCCCAACCCUUCCUCGCCAGUUAUGGGAAUAACGGAUACAAACUUAUGAUUAGAUUCGUCCAACAACAUCUCCAAUAUAUUUGAUUUGUCAUUGUCUCUUCCAAAUAUUAGCUCAGGAGGAACAGAGUCGGUGGGCUGCCGACUUCUUGUGUCUCCAACAGCAGCAGGGAGGCCACCUCUCACCAAUGGCCCCCCGAAUACCCUGGCUUGGUUAUAGAUGUUAUCCAAGUUAAGUUUGAUGUCCCUGAACUUACAAACCAUUCUCCAGCGAAGAAUUGGAUUAAACUUAGAGAAGGAGAAGAAGCAGCGUACCUUCAGCUUGUGUGGGUUUCGGGACUCCACCUUGUGACGAAGAGAUUCAUAGUGGAGCUUAUCCAACACAUUGCAAGCAUUAUAAGCAAACUCUUCGAGGCUCUUCAACCAUUCUUGAGUUUCCUUAGUUGUCAGGUCCUGGUCUUGUUGCCUUUCCUCAGUUGCCAGGCCCUGGUUUUGUUGCCUUUCCUCGGCACCAGCCAAGACAGCAUUGAUAAAGGUAAGAGAUUGUCUAAUGUUGUCCACAUCCUUCUUGAACCCAAGUAAACUCCCAAUCCCAGAAGAGGCAAGAGACAGUGCCGUUUGCAAGGCGACCUGAACUAUUGCACCGGUAACAGGGUCGGCCAUUUUUUCUGCCCUGGAUUCAGUGUUGAGAUCAAGAUGGUUUGGAAGGUUUUUUGCAGCCAGGAACUGGUAAUAUUAUCUAGGCUUAGUAUAAUUGGCUAUGAAGAAAGGAGCAUUAAUAAUUACUCCGCAUAGACGUACAAUUCUUCUCUGACAAGGUUGUAAGCUUUUGCUUUGGCAUUUUAACCGUAACUUUCUCAAUUAUUGUAGUUGUUGGGGCACCACGUUCUCUGGUUGAAUGCUGGGGCCUCCAGCAUUAUUUUUUGUUGUAGACAAUUUGAAUGGUUGUUCCAUCCAACGAGGACACUUACUUUGGUCCACAAUCAAAUUGUAAAAAAGGAGAGUGAGAAUCAUAUUGCUAUUUUGGUCACAUGCAUAUCCUUAUUGUUAAUCCUUGGAGGAUGAAUUUAAUACAUAAUUUGGUCUGAAUCUUGUUUGGUUUUAGAAAGUGACCACACUGACCCAUGUAUAUAUAACUAAAUUACAUAUAUAUAUAUAUAUAUUAGUAAAUUUAUAAAAUAUUCUAAAAUUCUAUGAUCAUAAAUCAAAUACACUAAAACUUCAUGAUUGUUUUCUUUUUUCAACCUAAUUCGAGUUAUCAUUAUAAUUAGUACAUACAGUUAAAGUUUGAAAAAUAAAUAGAAGCAGUCAAUAAUAGUUAUUUUUAUCAAUUCAUAAUAUUGUAUUCAACUUCUUGAAUAUUAAUUUUAUUAUUUAAAAAUAAAAUUGGAUGGUGUUUAAAUUUUUUUUAAAUCUAUAUAUUUUUAAUAUAUUUUUACUUUAGCAUGUUUAGAAAAAUACAAUAGAUACACAUUAGAUUACUUUAGCAUCUUGGAUCUGGGUUUGGAUUUAUUUUUUUAUACCCCAUACAGGUUUGGAUCUCGAUCAAGGUUUAAUUAAAUUUAAUGAAUCUGGAUCUGAAUCAAAGGAAUCGAAUCCAAAUCCUAUCCAUUGAGACGGAGGUUAAGGGAAGGUGGGGGCAUUAUUUUUCCCUGCCUUAAAAUGAUGCUCCCCCAUCCCAUCCCCUGCUCCGUUCACUGCAAAAAUAAAAUAAAUUCAAUUAGUAAUGAGCUUAAUUAUAGCUAAUUAGUAAUAGAUAGAGAACACAAGACACAAUUCAAAUAAUUUCUUGGAGGAUAUGAUUUCAAUUUUCAACUUAUCAUUGAACUAAUCAACCAAUGCACACGCUGCCGGUAGAUUUAUAUGAAUGAAUGAAGCUUUGACUAAUACCUAUAUUACUAGAUAAUAUCUCUUGCGGAACUGAACAUACUUGGGAUUAUAUCUCUUGCUGGAUAAGAGGAAGAUAGUUGAGAUAGGAGAAUAGUAUGAUGAAGAGAGACCGGGAAAGCUGGGGUUGGGGGUGAAUCUCCUUAGUUAUAGUGUCAUAAAACAUAAUAUAUAUCUACCUAUAUCAUAAAUUGAAUAAUGUGAUAUUUUGUUGUGGGAAAAUGAUCCAUUGUUAUCAUCAAUUUAUUACGAGAAAAUAUUUAUUUCUUCUAUCAGUUUACUUCUUUUUUUUUUACAUAUUGUAUGUUGUUUAUAAAGAAAAAUAGCAAUUAAUUUAGAUUUUAUGUAAUAUCAAAUAUGGAUAAAUGAAUUCAAAAGAUCAAAGCAAUAUUUAACAUUAUUUCACAUUCAAUUUUUGUUUUUACUAAAAAUUAAAAGAAUGAUCAAUUAAAUCAUUAUUAGAUAUAUAUAUAUAUGAUAAAGUAUAAAAAUUAUACAGCAGCCCCAAAGAAGUCACUGGCGUAUACUGUUGUUGCUUCACCAGUUACUCGUGGACGAGGGGCUGGAGCGGUUGUCAAACAACCGCUCAUAAACUUUUCAUGGCCAAGAUGUGGUGGGCCCAUCAUCAACAGCCAAAACGAAAUCGAACAAAAUGGAGAUGAGUGUAGAGGAUUGUUGCUUUAAUACAAGCUUAACUUUUAACUCCGUUUGGUCUAGCCAUUAAGGGUAUGAAAAAUUCAAAAUCAAAAUUUGAAAAUCAACUUUUGGUACGAUCGGCGAGGUUUAAAACUCUUUCAACUUAAAAAGAUGUGGGAAGAAAAUGGCGGUAGUGGAUUUUCUCUGAAUACAAUACAUUGUCGUUGUAGCUCCUUUUGUUCUUCUCCUCUCAAUAAGCUCCUUCUGUUUUUCCCCUCUCAACAAAUUAUUUCGCAUAACAUAGACAUAAAUUUUUGUCUUCUUCUCUUCCAACUCUUAAAUAAAUCCUAUCAAAACGGGCAUCUUGUCUAAGGUGUGCACAAUAUAAUUGUGAAGAUCCGCUACAGCAACAAUACACGCCGAUUUAAGUAGUGGAUGACUGAGAUAGAUAUUCAUCGAGUAACAAAUGCAUAACUGAGACUUGUGAGUGGCCCAUCUGAAAUUUACUGCAUGGUGAACUCUGUCCAAGGUAAACGCUAAUAUUAUAUGUAAUUUGAUUGUAAUAAAUGUGUUAUUUAGUGAAGCAUGAUUUAAAAAUUAUAAGAAGUAUGUCAUUAUCCUUUUAGAGAGAAUGGCUAGUUUGUACAAUAAAGAUCCCGUACAAAAUUUUAAAAUAUAAAUGAGGAUGUGUACAAAUAAAAUAACAUAAGCGUAAAAAUAACUUAACAAUGUGACCAACUUAAAUAACUACACAAACGGUAUAGAUGACAAUGUAUAGAUUUUGAGAAUUCUGUCAAACCUUACGCUAUGUAAAAGUGUAUGAGGCAUACAUGCAUUUGUUAUGUUACAAGUUGAUAUAAAGGGUGUACACAUUGUUAUAAAGUGUGUACAUAUGAUUGUAAAGUUUGUAAAUACUGAUAUUAUACACAAAUUGGUUAUAAUAUUUGUUUGAAAUGUAUAUAUUAUAAAGUGAAAUAUGCUAUGCAAAUUAUUAGAGUUAUGUGAUUACCUAUUACAGAGAAGAUACAUAUCCAUAAAAAUUAUUUUACAAAAUGUUGUAAGGUGUGUACACGUCGUUAUAAAGUAUGCACAUAUGUGAAUACAAAUAAUUAAGUGCUUAUGAUGUGAAUAAAGAAAUAAAAAAUAAAUAUAAUUGUUUGUCCUGAAAAAUAAUAGCAAAAAAUGCUUUUUUCGAAUACAGCACAAUGGAAGAAGCAUUGUGUCCUAAGAUCGGCAUGGAGUUUCAGUCAGAAGAUGAGGCAUACAACUUCUACAAUAGGUACGGAUUAGUUAUUGGAUUCAGUGUUCGGAAAGACUACUUGAACAAGGAUAAAGACGGUGUAGUUACAUCGAGAAGGUACACAUGUUGCAAAGACGGUUUCAAACCACGGUACGAAGGAGAUGUAAAAUCAAAGAGAACUCGGGCUGAAACAAAAACCGGAUGUUAAGCUAAAAUGGGGAUAAUUUUGAACAGAGAAACAAUGAAGUAUCAGGUUUGAGAUCUGGUAAUCGAGCAUAAUCACACACUACACAUUUCAAAAUGUGCUCAUAUGAUGCGUUCGCAAAUAAAAGUAAGUAUUUUUCAAGAAACCCAAGUUGAGAUUGCAAAUGAUGCAGGAAUAUCCUUGAAACAAUUCCAUGAAUUCAUGGGAAAAGAGGCAGGUGGAUUAGGCAAUAUUGGCUACACUCAUGAUGACUUAAAACGCUAUCUACGAACAAAAAGAGAGAGGGGAUUAAAGUAUGGUGAAGCUGGUGCAAUGCUACGAUACUUUGAAGAACAAAAAUUGAAAAAUCCGUCAUUCUUCCACGCAGAGCAGCUUAAUUGUGAAGAACAAAUUACAAAUAUAUUUUGGGCUGAUGCAUCAAUGCUGAUGGAUUAUACCUAUUUUGGGGAUGUGGUUACAUUUAACACCACAUAUAAAACUAAUAAGGAGUACAGACCAUUAAGCGUAUUUGUGGGAUUCAAUCAAUUUAGACAAUUGGUUAUUUUUGGAGCAACUCUAUUGUAUGAUGAGACCAUUGAAUCAUUCAAGUGGGUGUUUGGUACAUUUGUAGAGGCAGUUUGUGGAAGACACCCAAAAACCAUCUUCACAGAUCAGGAUGCAGCCAUGGCCGCUGCAAUUUCGGCUGUUAUGCCUUCAACAUACCAUGGUCUGUGCACUUUUCAUAUUAGAGUCAAUUUCAUGAAACACCUUGGGAACUAUUACAAGGAUGGUAGUAAUCUUCCAUAUAGAUUUGUUGAAUGUAUGUAUGAGAUAGAAGAUGAAAAUAAGUUUAUCAUGGCCUGGGAUGCAAUGCUAAAAGAACACAAGCUCGAAACAAAUGAAUGGUUGUGUGGCAUUUAUGCAUGUCGAAAGAAAUAGGCAAAAUGCUUCAUGAAAAGCGCCUGGACUGCAGGUAUGCGUAGCACCCAACUAAGUGAGAGUCUAAAUGCUUCCAUAAAAAAUAUCUGAAACUUGAUCAUGAUCUGGUUCAAUUUUUCAAAUAUUUUAAUCGAGUUGUGGAUGAAAAAAGAUAUAAUGAACUAAGAGCUGAGUAUCACAGUCGACAGAAGCUGCCAAUGUUGGGAUUGCAACAGACUCCCGUACUGAUCCAGGCAGCUUCUAUAUACUCUCCAUACAUGUUUGUUGCAUUCCAGAAUGAAUACGAUGAAUCCACUACAAUGGUGAUCUUGGACCAAAAGCAUACUGCAAUGCAUGUGGAAUACAGUGUUAGUCAGUAUGAUGGAGAAAGGGUGAGAAGAGUGACAUUGAAUCCAAUAACUAAAUACAUUACUUGUAAUUGUAAUCUUUUUGAGUAAGAAGGAAUCCUAUGCUCACAUGCUUUAAAGGUGUAUGAUAUGGUUGGAACAAAAUUUAUUUCUGAUCAAUAUGUGAUAAAGAGGUGGACAAAGAAGGCAAGGUCAGGAGGCAGCGUCAAUUGCAAGGGUAGAGAAAUAUCAUCAGAUCCGUCUUUCUCUAUUUCCCAUCGAUAUCGACUAUUAGCACCCGAAAUGGUAAGACUUGCUACCAGGGCUGCCAUGUCAGAAGCCGCUACAAAGUUAGUCAGUAGCGUAAUGUCUAAAUUGUCAAAGAGAGUCGAAAUGCUAUUUUGUGGAGAAAUAGAUGAAAUAACACAGAAUAAUGGCUCAAUGGAUCUAUGUAAGGAAAUACAGGUGCAGAAUGCAACUGGCCACUUUGUGACUCCAACGGGUUUGAAGAAACGAAGUGGCAAAAAACCUAAGAAAGUAUUGCGUAGUUGGGUGGACAAGCUUCAUAGGCAAAAGAAGAACUCUACAUUGUCCAAGGCAAGCACUCCUGAGAUGGUUAGUACUGAAUCUUAUUUUUUGACUUACAUAACUAUAUCAUUUCAAUUGACUCUACUAUCAUAAGCCAACUCAGUUGUUGUAUAUUUUUGUCUUGUCAGUCAUCAGAAUCCUAUCAACCCAUCUAAAGCCAAACAUCAAGUAAAUGUUUGUCAUCGAAAUUCUGUGGCAGUAAGUAGUUAUUUUUAUACUUUACAUAAUGUGCAUUAUAGUUCACUGUUCGUUAUUUCGAUGUUACAAAUUAAUGUUUUACUUGUACACAUUGGUUCUUAAGGUAUGUAUAUUAGUGACAGGAUGUUCAUCACAUGUUAUUUAUUUUUGACAUAGUAAUAUCACUUUUUAUACAUAUUUUAUAGAUUAUUAAUUUAUUUGCUCACAUUUAUUUUUUAAAUCGUACAAGUUACAAUUAUUUUUUACCCGUUGUUUAUUAGUUUUGACAUCGUGUUAUUAUUUUGGUGCACGGUGUAUUUUAGUUGGUACACAUUACAGCGAUCUCUUAAUUUAAUAGCAUUUACAUGUUGUUAUUUUAUGUGUACAAACUGAUAUAUAUGUUGUACGCAUUUAUACAUACCAUGUACUACUGGUUACUUUGUUUUGAAAUAUCAUUAUUUUAUUUGAACACAUGAUUACACCUUUGCAUAAAAUUGUUUACAUAUUAUUCAUUUAUUUGCUCACAUUUAUUUUUUAAAUCGUACAAGUUACAAUUAUUUUUUACCCGUUAUUUAGUUUUGACAUCGUGUUAUUAUUUUGGUGCACGGUGUAUUUAGUUGGCACACAUUACAGCGAUCUCUUGAUUUAAUAGCAUUUAUGUGACGGCCCCACCUCCCCCUAGGGCGUACCCCAGGGUUUAGCGGACCGCUUGCCCAACUUUCGCCAGGACUCACUCACUCGUAUCUCAAGAAAAAAACUAAGAACGUAUAUCCAUAGAAAAUGAAUAACACAUCCACUUAAUAAAUACAUUGAUACUCAAAUCCAGAUACAAAACUUCUACACACUAAAAUAUUCCAAAGUGUUUACAAAUCGAGUACAAUCAACCCUAGUCGGGUACUAGCGUGAGUACAUAUUCAAAAUUCAAAACAACUAAAUUACGCUAAUCUGUACAUGUCUCAUGCCUCGCUCGUACCCCCUGUAAGGAAAACAAAUGGCGUGGAAUGAGUUAAACCCUCAGUGAGAUUCCAAAUAACAAAUUGACCAUUUUGAAAGUACGAAUAUCAACGUAACAAGUUAAUGGGCAUCAAAAGUUCAUAAAAGUGAACAAUAAUACUUCAAGUAGCAAAUCUCAAAGUGAGUGAGUGUAAAAGUUUUUUCAGAAGAAACAAUAAUCCAAUAAAUAAUAAUUAUUCCAAAGUAUAAGGAUACGGAUGGCUCUCAGGAGCCAAAUUCCCAUCACAUCACCAGAGUUUGAUCAAGUAAUAGUUGACACUCCGUCAACCUUCAAGUAAGUAACCAAUCCAGUAGAGCACCACUUACACUACUCUCCACCCACCAUUCACACCCCCUACUGGGCCCAAAAUCCUCAAUAAACACGGGUGGUAAUACUCGAGUAUACCGAUUAGUCGAGAAGAUAUCACUCCACUCGACAUAACUAACGACCCAUGGUUCGUUAUCUAAUCGACCAAACCCUUGCCAACUCGACUCGAUUAAUUAGCCAAUGGGGUUUGGGUCCCCAAGAAAUCGAUGAGAUAACCUCUCCAAUCGACGGAAUUAAGAUAAAAGUAUGGAGACGGGAAUGAGAGGCACCUCCCACUCGGAUUGAAUGUGGUAUAUACUUCCGCUCCAUACUUACAAAUUAAGUACAUGUAUAUCAAGUUAAUUGCAACUAUAAACAAGUAUAGAUCAUGUUAGGGCAAGUGCGAUAAAGUACACUCUUGCCCGAUCAACAAAUCUCAUAUCAAUUAUGUACAAGUAUUGUGAAUAAGUGUCCAGGUCAACCAGGUAUUUGGAAGCACUCACCCAAAAUGCGGUGCCUUUACGAGUUACGUUCGGGUAUUACUCUGUGUGCGGAGUCCAAAUCUGCGAUAAAACAUUGUUUAAGAACUUUUAAAAGUAACUAAAGUUCGAAACUUAAACGUUUCGUUCAAUAAGAAUCAAGAAAUUGAAAUUCACUUGGAGAAUAUUCGUGAAACACUCGCUCGCUUUUCAAACUAUAUAACUUUGUAACAUUAUACUUGGAAAUGUCAUUUGAGUCAAAAGUGCAAGGAAAACGUAUUCCGAGCAGUCAUUAUUUUAUUUCUAAAGGGUACAAGUUCGGCCAAAUCCUUACUGAUAUACCUCGGUAAAAGAACAUGCAAAUAUCCUAGAUGGUUCAAGAAGUAAUCACUCUUAACCCUUACUCAAGUUGCAAGUAUGUCUACCUAGCCCUUGAACGUAAAUUUGGGCAGCACGCCCUUUGUAUUUUCCUAUUUUUCAGCUAUUUAUGGAUUCAUUCUUUUCCUCAAUCAAACCCAAAGUUACACACAAACAAUCUCAUUUCAAUAGCCGUUCAAUAGGCUCAAGGUAAUACAAGUACAAAAUCAAGCUAAUGACAUGUACGGAAAUGAGGUUUAGCAAAAGACAGAUUUGACGUGUUUUUACGUAAUAGACACAACCAAAGCUACGCUUAUCGGAUUGGAAUGCAAUUUAUACCGUUUCGAAGCUAAGACAUAGGGCUACAAUUUUGAUGAAGAUCACUUAGUCCAAAUUCCAGUGUAACCCAGUCAAAUUCCCAAUUCACAGAACCAAAUUCUAACUAACCGGCUAAUUAACCGUACUACAUUUAAAUGGACAUAUCUCAAGCUACCAAAGUCCGCUUAAGACGUUCUUGGAGGCGUUAAAAAUCUAAGACAAAGUACUAAAACUUUUAUGUUUUGACUAAAAGCUAGUUCAGUACGUAUCAAGGUGAACAAACUCAACUAACUUAGUGUACUGUCAAAACUGUCCACUGACUUUACUCCUAUGGCAGUCGGGGUAUUUUCGUCUUUUCACAAGCUACAUUGAUCCGAUUGAACUGAAAUUUUGUAGAUAACCAUAAAAUAUCAUUCUCUACAACUUUCCUGUUUUGUAGCAAGCCUAAUUCAGCCUCUAAAAUGAUGAAAUAGAAUCGGGCAGAACUUAAGCUAAAUUUUCCAGAAAUCUGGAAUUUGUAUUAUUUUAAGCUAUAAUUCAUAUUUUCACCUUGAAACUACCACUACUAUCACCUUUACAAGAUCAUAUACCACAUAUAUGCAUCAUACAACACCUAACCCACAAGAAACCCUAACUCAAAAGUCAUUCAUUCAAUCAUCAAAAUCACUUGAAACAAGCAUCACAAACACAAUACCAACAUUAAUACCAAACUUAAUCAUGAUUAAUGGAGAAAGAAUGGUUGAUCAACCAUUAUACCUCAAGACACAAGCUUGCAAGGAUGAUCCUUCACCUCUCCUUGAAAUUCUUGGUUCCUUAAACUUCCCAAGCUUCCAACUAGUGAUUAAUCGGUUUAGUUUUUUUCUUGGUUGCACUCAAAUGGUUGGAUUCAAGGUAGAAGAUUGAAAACACUCCUCACUCUCUUCCCUCUCCUUGCUCUCGGCCAAACUAGAAAACAAAUGAGGGAAAAUGAAGCAAGAUGAGAGAUAAGAAGGCAAGACAAUGGUUGGUCAAGACACCAUAGGUGGUUGACACUUGUCACCACCAAGACCAACUAAAUUUUCUCUUUCUUUUCCUUGCAUUUUGGCCACAAUUUUCGGUCACAUGGCUGAGGAUAAGGGGGGGAUAUUUUGCACAAAUAUCAAGGGUAUGUGGUGGUAAGGAAGUGGUGGGUUCAAUCGGUAGUGAUCGAUACCCGUCGGUUUGAGCCGAUUUUUUUCUUAAAUCGCGUAUACUAGGAUUUUUACCUUCUAAUCACUAUCUUGUUAUUAUCACUUCUAAUCAUAUAAUAUUUCCUCAUCCAAAAUUCACUCUUACCUACCAAAUUUGAUCCCCAGUCUGUACCGAAAAAUCACACUACGAAAAAAUGUGAAAACCCUAAUUCGCUCUAACUGGAAAACGGACAACGAAACCCUUACUUCUAUAUUCAUUUACACUUAUUGUGGGGUGAUUGGGUAGUAGAGUUAUUAUAAAAUAAUAAUUUUCAAAUAAAAGAGCAUUUUUAAGAAAAUAUAAGGAAUUUGCAAGUCCUCACAAUUUACAUGUUGUUAUUUUAUAUGUACAAACUGAUAUAUAUAUAUUGUACGCAUUUAUACAUACCAUGUACCACUGGUUAAUUUGUUUCGAAAUAUCAUUAUUGUAUUUGAACAUAUGAUUACACCUUUGCAUAAAAUUGUUUACAUAUUAUUCAUUUAUUUGCUCACAUUUAUUUUUUAAACCGUACAAGUUACAAUUAUUUAUCACCCGUUGUUUAGUUUUGACAUCGUGUUAUUAUUCUGGUAUACGAUGUAUUUUAGUUGGUACACAUUACAGCGAUCUCUUGAUUUAAUAGCAUUUACAUGUUGUUGUUUUAUGUAUACCAACUGAUAUAUAUGUUGUACGCAUUUAUACAUACCAUGUACCACUGGUUACUUUGUAUUGACAUCGUGUUAUUAAUCUGGUACACGAUGUAUUUUAUCUUGUACACACUACAAAAAGACCUUUGCAAAUCUGUUGCAUAGUUACUUCAAUUUUAAUGCAUUGGUUAUGUGUUAUAUUCAUAGUAACCCAUAAGCUUGUAGUAUAACUUUACAGUGUAUUCAUUUAUGGUGACGUAUGCACUGAAUUUUGGAUUUUCUUUAGAUUAUUGUCGGUUGAUCUUUGUUUACAUAUUGUUAAUUCAGUUGAACACGUUGUCAUACAUUUUGUACACAUUUGUUUCAUAAUUUCCGUACAUCAUAGCAUCUUAAAUUUUGGACACAAUGUGUAUUUAUUUUUUACGAAUUAGUUAUUUUGCUGUUUUACACAGUGUUAGUAUGACUUUGCAACUAAUGUAAUGUGCCACUCGUGAUAACAGUCAUUUAGUGAAUCAAAUUUUGGAUCAUCCCCAGUUAUUCACUCAGAUAUGCAGUCUUGUAGGAUGGUAAGUGAGAGAUAUUGCAUUUGUGUGGAUAAUCAAGAUUUUGGACAAAUUUACAGUAUCUUAUUCAGUACAAUACUGAAAUCUAGCCCGGUGAACCUGGAAUCACUCCCCAAAUACUGGCUGCUCAUAACAUCCGUAUUGAAGAUUGUAACAAUCUUUCACUUUUGAUUCCUAACGAUCCUGUGAGGAAGACAAAGUACAGCUCAUUCACCGAAUUCUUAAUGGUCAGUAAUUCUUUGAAAAAAUUUAUUUAAAGUUAUUAUCUAGAAGUAUUCGUACCUUGCUACAAGACUAUUGUGUGGAGAGGUUUUUAUGAACACUGAAUAUUUGAUUUAAAUAAUUUAUUGCUUGUUUCAAUGAUUGCCAAACCCCCAUUGUGGCUUCUGUGGAAAGGUCAAAGAGCAGUACUCCCAUACAUAUAAGCGACGAAGAAGUGCAACUACCUACGAUAUAAAUGGGUAGAAGCUAAUUGCAUUCCAUGAAUAUGUAUGCUAAGAUGUCAAAUCUUGCGACCCUUUUGGAACUAGAUUGGAUCAAUGUAAUACUAAAAUGAUUGUUUUCUUUUUAUAUUAGAUAGUAAUUUGACAAUUGCAAUCAAUGCAGACUAGAUUUAGACAAUUUACAUCUCUUUAAUUGAGUAUAAGAAGUUAUAUAUUAACCGUGGUGUGCCAACCCUAUCUACUGCAAAAGGUCAAAAAAUUCUAAAUGUACCUACAUUAUGUACCUACUAAUAAUAUAACUUAGUUUUUAAUUAUAUUCCAAGAUAGAAUAUAAAUAAACUCUUAUUCACAGUACAUAUACCUAUUGUGUGGAGACUGUUGAGGCACAUCUGCAACUUGCAAUAUAAAUUCUUUGAAAUCCACCAUCCUAUCAAAUUGUUUUGCCAUUAUUAAUCCCAAGGUUCGCUUCUGCAACAUACAAAUAUAAUUGUACUGAUUACACUUUCACACUAGUUACAUAAUUUAAAGCCAUGGAACAGAUCUAUUAAAAAUGCAAGUUAUAAAUAGUAUUUAGAUUUCACCAAUCGUCGCAAGAUGUUAGUCUCUCGAACCCGUGACGAAUCAACUCGUGAGUCAAGGAGAUGAACAAUGCCUUGUGCAACAUCAAAUGAGUAUACAAACCAGUGAUUUUUGUUCACCACUGGAACCAGUAUCUAAAAAUAUAACGUGUUAGACUUUACAAAUGCAACACAUUUGAUAUAGAGUAAAAGAUAUUUGAUCCAGGAGUUAUAAGAGAUUGAUCACAAUAUCGGCAUUUGCUAGACUUGAAGCAUUAUCUGCUCUUAUUUUGAACCACUUGUUCAAUUGCGAAUAUAAGUCAUUAUCAGACAUUUUCUCAAAUCGGUCCACACGUUGAAUGGCAGCCUGCCCAACAAAUCAAUGAAAUUGGAUCGAAACUUAUAGGAUAGUUAGAAAUUGCAACACUGGAACCAAUACUACUUAUUAAAUAUUGGAAUCAAAUUUUCUAACUUAACUAACAAUGAGUGCAACUGUAUAUGCAUGGUGUUAGUUGGUUGUUAAAAAAAAGUUGACCAUUAUACUCACAACAACACAUGGCUCGACAAUGUACCACUUAACCUUCAUCAGUCUUUUACUCGCAUCCAUAUUCAACAACUUUGCAUACAUAUCAAUGACCUAAAAGAGAGGUGAGUAUAAGUGCAAAAUUUUUUUAGCAUUCCAAAAGGUGAAACUAUCUCCAAAACUACAAUAAGUAAAUUAGUGAAAUAAAAAAAUUUUGAUUUUUCUCUUGGCUUACGCUAUCUGAUACCCAUUGGUUCUCCCGCAAGGAUUGCAUAUCUUUUCGAUUAAGGCUAAAUUCGAACAUAUCCACUAAUAUCUCACUACAUUGAACAUUUGAGUCAAUAAUGUUAAGUUGAAUUAUCAACAGUUUUUGAAUAAAAAAGGCAUAUAACUCCGAAUAUUAUCACACACUAAUGAUUUUACCUCUGAUCUCCUGUGUCUUGCCAUGUGAAAUUCGCAAUCUUCCUUUGACAUUGUGUCAAAGUAACCUGGAUUUGGAGCUGAUAAUCAGUAGACCUAAUGAGGGUGUUGUGCCUUGUCGUCCGCAAUGUCUUGUGCAUUCGACCAUCUUCCGCAUCUAUAUUAAGUCAAGAAUAGCAAAUGUUUUUGUAAUGAUCAAUUUUCAUAUCAUUUACAAAGUGCAAUAACAAAUGGAAGCUGAAUUUUAACUAUAACAUAUAUAACUUGCCUUCGCGCUCUCUUUUUUCAUAUCUAGACCGACCCUUCCAUUGUGUUGCAGCACAUAGCGAAUGUUGCUCUACUGCAGCUCCUGAUGGGGAAGUUAUACCUGCAUCCAAGCAAUAAACUUCUGCAAUUGCCUUGGCAUCAUCUUUUUUUUCUUUAUCUUCGGGCUCAUUUGCCACAUUUUCACCAAAAUCAUCAUUCCUAUCCCCAACACAUGUCUCGUCUUGGUCGUUUUCAUAUUCAGAUUUAUCUGUAUCAGACUUUAUAACAACCGUUGCCUUCUCAUGAUGGAUCAUUCGCUUUUUUACCUGUUUUCUUGUGAUCUAACGGCUGGCUGGGAAGAUAAUGCCAUGGCACUACGUUGCGAGCAAAGGAUACUUGCUAUAUUCAUUACACUCUGUUGACACUCAAUCGCUAUCUGCUCGGCAUUUGCAGCUUUUGUAUAUAGAGUCGCUAGAUGAACCUGAAUAUAAAAAAAUUAAUGCAAUUAAUCCUUAUAUUGGUAUAACUUGGGACAUAUUUGAAUUCGUAUUAGAUUUAAUUUAUCAUCUUACAACAAUAUCUCCAUGUCCAUUAUUCACCAUCUGGAUAAUCACAUCCGAUAGAAGCUCAGUAGGUUCCUCUUCCUCAUCUUCUGCUCUGUCCGUUUUGUUUGACCCUACUUUUGUGGACCAAAAAGUAUAUUGUAAGUUUGACAAAAUAGUUAGUUGUGUAACAUAAUGUCUUACUAACUCAAAUUAUAAAAAUAUCAUUGUUUCAGCAAUACUUACUAGUUUUCCUUUGCCAAAUUUUCCAAGACCACCCAAUUCUAGUGUUUCUCUUUCCAUUAUAUUAGCAUCAGUCCAUGCUUUUGCUACAGGGCAGAUCCUAUGAACACAAUGAUUGAGUAUACUUACUCGAUCAUAAUAAUGUAGCUGUAAAAUAAUAACAGCUUAUCCUUGUUACAUAUAAUUAACAAAUAUAAGGUAAGUCACCCAAUAGUUGAGAUUUUCUUAACUUACCAGUAAAAAUAGGAUGCAACCUCCAACAUUUUUGUGGGCAUUGCUUUGCAUAUUCAACAAUUUUUUGCAUAAAUCAACUCUCACGAACUCAGCCCAAUUAAAUUUUGCUAUUUCUGAAGUUGAUUGUAAACUCUCCCAUAAAUUGGCUUUAAUUUCAACUCGUGUUGUUGGAGCAAGCAAGCACUUACAUGCAAAAAUAACAAAUAAUCUCUUGAAUUCAUCCCCAACCUCCAUGGAUAUUAGCUCAUCUUCUAUAUCAUGCCAAUUAUACUUCUUCUUCCUAGGAUAAUGUGGUUCGCUAUCAAUUCCAUCAUCUCUAGUAUCUUUAACCGGCACUGGCCCUUCACCUGGAAUUCCAAGAGGCUUUGCUAUAUCCUCUGAUGUUACAGGCAGUACACGUCCACCUUCAAGUUGUAUAUAUGAGUGAGUUGGAUUGAAAUUAUUCACCAACCACAUGCAUAUAAUACUUGGAAGGAUGUGGCAUUGGAUCUCCAAUAAUCCACCAAAACCUAUUUCUUUUAUUGCAGCUAUUUUUGCCCCAUCAAUACGCCCCACAAGCUUUAAAAAUUUAGCUGGUGUGCACCUAAACCUGUAUGCCUGUAAAACAAUAUAACAAUGUUGAUAAAAAUUAACAAAUAACAGCCCAAUACUUGCACUUGCACUUUGAAACUUCUAAAUCAUUUAAUUUAAAAAAUAUAAAAUUUGAUGCUACGUCCUUACUUGUUUCGUUUCAUCACUUUUUAUGCUUUUUCCCGUGUCUGCUAUAGACUCCUUGUAGAUUUUCAUCAGCUCCUUAUAUUUCUUCAUAUCUGCUUCAUUCUUCCAUACAAGCUUCUCCUCAUCACUCAGUUUGUUCCAUGCAUUUCUAGAGGCUAUGUUUAGCUCCUUCAUUGUUAAUGCAUUUCCCUUUGUUUUUUGCUUGCGUGCGAAGUCAAUCCUACCAUGAUUUAAUAUGAUUAGAUGCAUCACAUAGACUUAUGAUUUUAUCAUGAGUUUUUUAGCUAAUUAAAAGCCCCAAAUGUACACAAUAAUCCUUCUAUAAAGCCAUAUAUACCUGUACGCAAUGAAAUCACUUGGUGGCCUCACGGGUUUUACUGGAUUAUUGUCAUGAAGUUCCUCAACCUGCUUGCCUUUAUCUUUUGUAACAUUCAUCUUCUUGGUUCCCUGACGUCCCAUUUCAAACUGCAACAAAAUAAAUGACAUGACAAAAGCAUAAGGGAUAAUUUCAAUAUCGUAUCCCCUGAGGUUUCUUCACAGAAGUGUGACACGCUUCUGUUGUUACAAAUGUACAAGAGGUUUACAUAAAGUUAUAAAAUGUUCAAAAUGAAUUUUUUCAGAAAGAAGAAAGAUUAAGAAUUCCAAAAUAUUAUAAUACAUCUUUGCUGGAUAAAUAUUAAUUAAACAUUAUUUACACUAGUGUAACAUUAUGAAUUUCCUCUGCAGAAAGAAUAUAAAAUACACUUAUAUCUUUCCAAUUUCAAUCAUACAACUUAAGAGAGACAAUGUAUUCCAAAAAUAAUUGUCUGAGUUUGGAUUUUUUUUUCACAACACACUAAAUAGUCUGAAAAACAGCCUCCAAUGUUGACAAAAGUAUAAGCUGUUUUUAACUUAAUUAUGGCAUUCAAAUUUAUUAAGUUCGAAGACACGUAUAUGUAUAAAAAUAUAGUGUUAUUCCUCUUAGUUGAUAUUUCAUUACUAGGAAAUGAAAAUUCAAAACUCAAUAUGCAAUGCAAUACUUAACUUCAAAAAAAUAAUAAAAUAAAAAUCAUACCUCAAAUUUUGGUAUGUUCCUCCUUGUUCCACCUUCAAAUGCAAGUAUAGGCAAAAAUGCCAAAGUUGGUCCUUUAAUGUCCACAAGAAAGUUCUGCCAUGACAGUUAUAGUCAAAUUCUGACACUAGACAUAUAGCUAGUUUACCAACUUAAGAACCCAAUUAUCAGCUAAGACAUUAGACAUAUCAUCUUCACUAAAUGUAACCAUUAUCAUAGUGCAUUAUGAACCAGAACACACUUAUAAAGAAGACAAAGGGAUUGCAAUGAUGCAUAACAUCACCCUUCCACACUCUUUUCCACCAUGAAGCCCUCAAUCCUUCCCAGUUACUCAACUUUUGCACUAUGUUGCAUGAUACUUCCAACAAUAUAAUGGAUAAAAAGGGAAGAGAGGAAUCCCCUGCCUUUAACCUGUAUAGUUAUCAUAUAGAUCCUUGGUAUCCAUUCAAACUGGCUUGUAAUCUGAUGGUACAGAUACAAAAGCAAAUCAUUGGACCUACUCUUACCGAUUCCUUUGCAGCAUUAGGCUUGAAGUUUCCAAAUUAUGCAGUCAACUCACCCCCUCUUUUUUCUUCCCAUCACGUCCUCUUUGACUGAACAUAAUACACUUAGAUUAUAGAUAUCAAUGAAGACAUCCCUAGAUAGUUUGUAUACAAAAUAAGAUAUGCAAAGAAACAUACAUGCAUAAAGUUAACAAGAACAUUUUUGUGUCAGUUCAAAACUUAAUAUUUCAAGUACCCAAACAAGUUUAUUUCUUGAGCGUUUGAAAACCUUGUCUAGUCUUCUUUUAUAUGACAAAAAACCCGGGGCAGGGGCAAUUAAGAACGCUGCAGCCCAGAUGUUCAUGGGAAACCAAUACACAUGCACAUACUGCAAAUAAGUCACAUCUUCACUACACAUAAUGAAAUAAGGUUAAAGUGUUAUGUCCAUGCCUACCAUAUUCAAUUAGGUAUAGAUAAUUUCAAAGGGCUGUCUGGAAAUUUUGGAAAGAAACAUGUAUAAGUUAUCCAUAUGGAACAUUAAAAUCACCUACUCUACAAGUGAUAUCAAACUUUCUGUUACUACACAAAUCAGAUGCAAGUCAAAAUAUAAUAAAUAGUGCUCUAAACGAUUACUAGUGUAGAACUCGAGGCCCAUAUUAUAACCACAUAGGAUGUUCCGCCCAUCACCUCCAUCUAGUAAUCCUUUAUCUAACAAAUAAAACCAGGAGCUAUAUUUGCUGAAACUGUGUCAUAGCCAUGCAUUGAUCACUGAAAACAAAAAAGUACCGCCUUUAUGUUACUAUAUUUUCUUUUAAUGAAGAUUUUACUUCAGAAAUCUGAGUCCUAAGUGGCUUUAUUAUAUCACAACUUAGCAUCAACAAUUCAAUACUCCACUCAGAAGCCAACAUCACCUUCAACAAGAUCAUUGUAAAUGUCAUUAAUGUGAUGGACCACCAGGUUACUCAGUCUUGCUACAAUGAUAUUAGGCAUAUAUAUCUAUGUAGAAUUUGAGUAUUCUCAAACUCUUAGAUAUUAGACCCACAUAAACCUUAUUCUGUAAAUAACGAAGAAUAUAGUUUCAGGAAAUAUAAGGACAUAUACUAAGAUAUGGUGGCCUGGAUUAUCAUGUUUAAAAUGUUUUAAUGAUUUGAAACAAAUUUUCCCACAACUGAUAGAAGAAGAACAAAACUUCUCCUAAUUGAAAACAUUUUCACUAAACUGCUUUGCACAAAAAAAUAAGUAAUCAUCUAUCUAGAUAAAGUCCACAACAUCAGCCUUUCUCAGCAAGCUCAUGUCUGAGAAAUUUAAGCACAAAACUUACCCUUUUCUGCGAGCUUUCAACCCAAUACUUAUUUGGCUUUGAAAACCUUAGCACAACAUCAGCAUCCUAAAAAUGAUAGCAAUGCAGCUUAAGUUCUCAUUUUCAUUCUCCUUCCGCAUCUUCACUUAUAAUUUUGGGCUCAGGCCACUACGUUUUUAGAUAGAGUUUAAGUUGAUUUAAUCUACUACUCGAAAAUUUUAAAAUUUAAUGAACAAGACAACAACGACAAAGGCAAAGGAAACUUUUUGAGCUUCUGGAAACCUUAAAUUCAGCUUGCCCAUCAAUAGGCAAAAAACCAAAUAUUUUAGCAUAUCAUGAUUGCGAAAAGAAAAAAAAAACUUACAAUUAGCUUGAACAGAAUAUAAUGCAAAACUGAACAAAACAAGAUCAGAUUUUUUUUGUCAAUUUCUCAUCUUUUCCUUUUGUUCUUCUAAUAUUGCGGGUUCUUUUGAUUGAUUACUAGAUUUUCAAUAAUUUCGCAAUUAAAUAAAUUAAUUAAAAUCGAAAUUAACCACAACAACUUAGGCAGAAAAGAAUUGACAUUAAAAAUCGAAAAAUUCAACCAACAUAAUUGAGAGGGGUAAAGAAAAACCCUAGUGAAAACGGAGACAUUACAGGAGACAUUAAAGAGAAAUUACUAGUUUGUUAUAAGAUAAAAAUAAAAAAUCAGGAAGAAGACAUUACGAACCUGUAAUAUCUAGUUAACAACGAAAUUAUUAUUGAUUACGAACUAGUAACAACAAAAUUACUAGUUCGUAACAACAAAAUUACAGAGACAUUACGAACCUCCUCAAAAGGUUUGUAAGCAGGAAGAAAUUACAAGGGCAACAUAGGAGCAGAGAGUGUAAAAGAUCCCAUCUUGCCUUGCAGAGAGUGUAAAAGGAGGGGGUUUGUGGUAAAUAAAAAUCUGACACUUUAUAUGCUUUCUAAACUACCCUUGAUGACGAUGGAACUUUUGGUAUAAACAAAAACUUAUCUAUCUUUGACAACUAACCACAGCCAAUAUAUUUAUUUUUUUUACCAAGUAAUACGUAUUUUUUCAUAUUCUGUUUUUCAACUUAUUUAGUAAAUCUUAAUUUUAAUUAGCAACUACCAAUUAUGGUUAUGAAUAACUAGAAAGCAACUACUUUUUAUAACUUUUAUUUUGGUGAAUUUUUUAUAUAUGUAUUUUCAAAAUAUAAAACCAAUUUUCAUGAAAAUGAUUUUAAUAAAUAUGUUCAAAAUAUAUUUUCUAUUAGUUGCAGGCGCAUUAGGGUGUGUCUUGAAUACUAGUACAUAUUACGACAUGAAAUCUUAAUAAUUUGUACAUAAAUUUGUAUUAAUUCAUAAUUAUAAAAUAUAUAUUGUAUAUAAGCAUGUAUUUAAUUAUGAGUUUGGAUCAAACCCGAUUUGAGACUAAAUCUGAAAUCCGAAAGCCCAAAAUUAAAAAAUUCAUGUAAUUUAUGAGCCAAACUCGUGCUCGCUACCCGACUCAAAUCCCGGGGCUGUUCAUGUAAUUGACGCCACCUUAAAACCCGGGGCUGUUCGGACCUUCCAGCUGUAACACUGUGAUGGAACGCCAAAGUGAUGCACCACUUCUUCUUUUUCUUUUUCUUUUUCUUUUUUUUCCGUUACUAGUUAUUGUAACGGCAUCGUUUUCGUCCAACCGCAGAACCCGUAGGCGUGGCCCGCUGCGGUCCCCCCACUCCUUUUUGUUAGAGGACCGCCGACGAACGGUCUUCUUCUUGAAGGCGACAUGAUUGGGGCCCAGAUCCAAUUGGUGUAGCGCUUCCUUCACAAGCUGUGGGAAUGCUUUUGCAACGGAAGUUGCUUGGCAAUUUCCCGUAGACCUUUCUUCGUUGGUGGGAUUCUUCGUCUGCUUUUGAUCUACGAGCUUGGGGCCCUUGAUCGUGGAAAAUUCCACCCAAGAAGGACAAGAAACUGGGACAUAAUAAUUAGUUUUUUUCUUUUUUAAAAAAAAGACGGCAAUGAUCAUUUGGAAUCUCACUCGUUAAUUCUUGCGACAUAAACGUAAAAUUAAUUUCACGAUCCUUGGGGAUCAGAUUUAAAACAUAUAUAAGUACUCCUUAUCUGGUUUGCUUUCUGCAAGGGAUUACGCUAACACAAUAAUAUCGUGGCUUAAAAUCCUUGAAUUUAUUUGCAGUCCAGAGACCUCAAAGUUCCCCAUUUCCACGCCAGCUGGAUGCUUUUAUUUGCUUUUCCACCGCUGUAGAAGACUAGAAGUGCUGCAGCAGUGCAUCUUUGACAAACUUGGAUGCCAUUUUGACUGCCAUAGACAAGUUUGCUUGGCAAUUUCACUCUCUAUGGGUCCGUUUGGAUUCUUGUUUUUGGGCCUGUUUUUGAAAAACUGUUUUUCACAAUCCAAAUGCUACAGUAAAUGUGUAUUUCAAAAACAACUCCAAAAACACCAAUAUCCAAACAAUAUAUCAAAAACAACUCCAAAUACAUAUUUAAUAUGUUUAUUUCAAUUUAUAUAUUUCAAUUAUGUAUAGGAUAUAUAUAUAUUAUAUUAAUUUAAAUAUAUUUAUUUAUACAUAUUAUAAAUAUUUUACUUUAUAUAAAAUAUAUUUUUAUAUAUUUAUAUAAAUAUUAUAUAUUAUAUAAAUUGUAUAUAUUAUAAAUAUGUUAUUAUACAUUUAUAUAAAUGUUAUAUAUUAUAUAUAUUUAAUAUAUACAUAAUAUAUAUUAUAUAUAUUGAACAUUUAUAUAAAUGUACAUUUAAACAUAAUAUAUAUAUUUAUGUAUAUUUAUAAUAUACAUUUAUAUUAUGUAUUAUAUAUAAUAUAUUACAUUUAUACAUUUAUAUUAAUAUACAUAAUAUUAAUUACACAUUUAUACAUAAUAUUAAUAAAUGUAUACAUUUAUAUUUAUUACAUUAAUACAUUUAUACAUAGUAUUAAUAUAUAUUUAUAAUAUAUUAAUUUAUACAUUUAUAUAAUAUUCAUUUAUAAUUUAUACACAUUUAUAAUAAUAUACAUUUAUAUAUUUAUAAAUAUAUUUAUAUUAUGUAUUAUAUAUAAUAUAAUACACUUAUAAUACAUUUAUAUAUUUAUUUAUAAAUAUAAUACACUUAUUUAUUUAUAUAUAAUAUAUAAAUUUAUUUAUAAAUAUAAUAUACUUAUUUAUUUAUACAUAAUAUAUAAAUUUAUUUAUUUAUAAAUAUUUAUAAUUGUAUUAUAAAUGCAUAAAUGUAUAUAAAUAAAAACAUAAAAAUUAUAAAUUAUAAAUUAUAAUAUUCAUUUAUAUAAUAUUCAUUUAUAAUUUAUACACAUUUAUAAUAAUAUACAUUUAUACAUUUACAAAUAUAUUUAUAUUAUGUAUUAUAUAUAAUAUAAUACACUUAUAAUACAUUUAUAUAUUUAUUUAUAAAUAUAAUAUAUAAUAAAUAAAUAAAUAUAAUACACUUAUUUAUUUAUAUAUAAUAUAUAAAUUUAUUUAUAAAUAUAAUACACUUACUUAUUUAGAAUAAUAUAUAAAUAUAUUUAUUCAUAAAUAUAUAAAUAUAUUUAUUUAUAAAUAUUUAUAAUUGUAUUAUAAAUGCAUAAAUGUAUAUAAAUAUAAAAACAUAAAAAUUAUAAAUUAUAAAUUAUAAUAUACAUUUAUAUGAUAUUCAUUUAUAAUUUAUAUAUUUAUAGUAAUAUACAUUUAAACAUUUAUAAAUAUAUUUAUAUUAUGUAUUAUAUAUAAUAUAAUACAUUUAUAUAUAAAUAUAUGAAUAUAUUUAUUUAUAAAAGUACAAAUAUAUUUAUUUAUAAAUAUUUAAAUAUAUUUAUUUAUAAAUAUUUAAAUAUAUUUAUUUAUAAAUAUUAAUAAAUGUAUUAUAAAUGCAUAAAUGUAUAUAAAUAUAAAAAUUAUAAUUUAUAAUUUAUACAUUUAUAUAAUAUUCAUUUAUAAUUUAUGCAUUUAUAAAUAUAUUUAUAUUAUGUAUUAUAUAUAAUAUAAUACAUUUAUAUAUUUUUAUAUAAAUUUAUUUAUUUAUAAAUAUUUAUAAAUGUAUAAUUAUAUAUUGUUAUAAAAAUAUAAAAAUACUCGAAAAUAUGUUUUAAAAAUACAUCUAAAAAUAAUCCAUAAAACAUCUACAGUAAAAGCUUUUUAUAUAAUUUUUGAAAAACAACCCAAAAAACAACUAAUCCAAACGGACUUGUAUUUGAAAAACGAAAUGCUACAGUGUUGUUUUUGAAAAACAACCCAAAAACAGCUAAUCCAAACGGACUAAUGUUUUCAGAACCGGACCGGGUGCCGAUUCGAUCAAGUUCAGGGGUCAGGGGUCAAUAGGUUCAACUGGAUUCGAUCGGCGUUGAACCUGAUGACGUUAUAAAUAAAAAUUAUUUAAAAAUUAAAAUAUUAUUUGUAAAAUAUCUAAUAACAUGUUAAUAUUAAUAAAGGUAUAUUCAUAUAUAUUUGAUGUUUCAAAUAUAUUUAAUAAGAAAAUACAAAGAAAUUAGAACAAUCAAGUAGUAAUUUAUAUUAUUUAAUGAGUAUUAACAAGUUUAGAAUUAAAAUUAUGGACUUAAUUGAAAAUAACACCAAACUUUAAGACAACAUUUAUAAAUUAUGAAAUAUUUGACGUAUAUUAAUAAUUUUUAACAACCCAGGGGUCAAAACAUAAUAUUAAAAAAUUUUGAAAUUUUUUAAAAGUGUUUGAUUGAACCGGAAAAUCGAUUUUUUCAAAUCAAACCCGAUUUUGACCGGAUUUGACUGGAUUUUUACUUACCCGAUUUUUUAGUAUAACUCGGAUCGGACCCUUGGCCGGUUCCGAUUCGACCGGCCGGUCCGAUCCAAGUUUUAAAACACAAAUUUCACUUGGCGUUUGUUGAUCAAUGCUUAGUUGAAGGUUUCAUCUUUUUUUUUUCGAUUGAACACUAGAUGGGGCCUUUGAUUGUGAAAAAUAUCUCUGGGGGUUGUUGGAAUGGUGGUUCAGAACAUCCUUCUUGGAUUGUUAUUUUUUGAAUUUUUUUGUAAAAAAAUUAUUACAGUAAUUUGAUAUAUGUAAGGUAAAAAUAUGAUUGAAAAAUUUGAUCACGAAAAACAUAACAAUUUUUUCGAGAAAAGCUUCAAUCUCAUCAUUGGAAAUUUAAUUCUUCGCUUUUUACAUUUGUCAAAUUGUCAAAAUAGUCACUUGUAUUUUCAAAAGUUUUCACUACAAGAAAUUUGACCUUUUGUGACAAUAGAAAGUCAUCACUAAAAAUUAGAAAGUCGUCAUUAUAUGAGUACAGUGACGACUUUUUCUAUUGUCACCUCGUUGUCACUAAUUCUAUGUCACAAAUGGGUAUGUGUGACAACCUCUACAAAGUCGUCACUAAAUAUUAUUAUUUAAUGACGAAGACUAAGUCGUCACUAAAGAAUAGUAUUCUAUGACGAAGUUUCUUGUCACUGUUUCCAAAAUUUUUUUAUCAUAAAAGAUAGCAGAAGUCGUCACAAAUUUGAACGCGCACAGUGACGACUUGAACUUGUCACUCUCACUUCUAGUAUUCAGUGACAAGAAUAAUCGUCACUUAGUGAACUUACAACUUUGUCUACUAGAGCUGCAAUUCUAUUGCAUUUUCAACAACCAUAGCAGAAAAUUGUGGCUCGACUAAUGCAAAAAACGAUAGUAAUUAAUGUACAAUGAACCCUCAAAUAUAUAUAUAUGGUUAUAAACAUCUCUAAAUUCAUCACAACACACAUUAACCAAAAUGGGUUCCAAAGCCCACGUUAGUUCAAGUACUAACAACCAUUAUCCAUCCAAACAAUAGAGUACUAAAUUCACAUCAAUUCCACUAGUAACAGCCAUUACACAUCCAAAAAAACAAAGUACUCUUUCCAAACAAAAACAUAGACUAAAGCAACAAUUUGUGUCAAACUGAAGUCAUCUUCAUGAGCAUAUCCAAAUGCCAACCUUUUUCAUCUCCUCAAGAGCAUUUAAUAGCAUUGUACUGCAUUGAAAGAAAAGUAUCAUAUGCAUUAGAAUCGAUUUCAGUCAAAAAAUAUGCCAUUACAAGCAUACACUAUUGAAUUUGAAUGAAUAGUCAUAUUGAACAAAAAUCCAAUUAAGUCAAUAUGAUAAGCUCCCACCAACAUCACGUACAAUGUCACACCACAGGACCAUACAUCCGCAAUCUAGAAAUUAAAUAGACAGCAAUUACAAAAUGAAUGAAGAAAAAGCGAGCCUGCGUUUUAACAAUAAGAAAGUCCCAUAAGUAUCUCUCUAUAAAAUCAAUGCCCAAAGAAAAUGAGAUCAAGGCAAACGAAAUAUAUUUUGCAUGUGUUUACACCUCAUCUUCAUUGAAUCCACCAGCACUAUAAAUUUUUGCAAAGAGCUCUCCACCAGCAGCAUAUUCCAUCACAAUAGCUAAAUGUGUCGGAGUUAGCACGACCUGCAGACAAAAGUAUGCUUCAAAACAUGGCUCCAUCAUUUUUAUCACAGACAUCUCCCACUAAGGAAGUUGAAAGUACAAACAAUAGUUUCUCAUCCUGAUUCAUAAUCUAGUUCCAUUUUCUAUCUUGUCAGCUCUCAUCUAUGACCUCGAAGACAGCGCACUUUUCUAUUUAAUUGAAGCCGAAAACAGGGCCCAUUCCAUUCCCUCUAGAAAAAGUGUAAUAUGAGUGCCAAAGUCUUGAACUACCGAUUAGCAACCAACUUCGGCCGAAUAAAAAUGGUACUCUUUUAUGCUACUACUGCCAUUGUCAAACUAAAACAUGUUAGAAAAUAGUAGACAUCAUUGCAAAGUAGAGAGUUUCUGCAGCAAAAUUAAUCAAGUGCAAGAACAUUCAACCAUUGAUUACUUAGACUAUCUGAAAGAAAAAAAGAAAAUACCCUUACAACCUCAAAUGUUUGACAAAUCCAGUUAGUAAAUGUUCACAUCAUUUGCUGCAAUUAAAACUAUGUACAAUUAAAACUAGGCACUGCUUUAAUAAUAUUAUAACUAUUUAGUGCAUCGAGUUAGUCUAAAAAUGUCCAACAUUAUUUGGAAAUGCACUUUGGCGGUAGACAAAAUCUGACUCCUUUAGGCAUUAAAGCAGUAGACAAUAGUUUAGGCACUAAAGAUGUUUACCAGUGCUAUGUAAAGGUAAACAAUAUCAUUUUAGUUGAAUAAAGACUCCAAAACUAAAGAGGCUACAUUUUCAUGCAAUAGUUGAGAUGGAUAACCAGUUUGGAUUGCCAAAAAUGUUAAGAACCAAAUGAUACUUGAGUCUUUAAUCAUCCUCAGAAACAAAUCACCAGGAAGGAGAUGCAAAAUGUGUUACACCAGAAUUUACCUUUUACCAGAUUUGAUAGACCAUUUUCCUUCAAACUUCUUGAAAUCACCAUCAACCAUGGAAAACUGGAGUUCACGGUCAUUUGCCUAAAUAAAUUUCAUUUGCAAAUAGUUAACUGAGAUAAAGUUAUCACAUAAGAAUGCCUAGUUACUGCUACCUACUCUAUCAGAAUGAAAAUGCAGUUUAACAUCUCACAUUAUAUUACUUGCAAUAACUGCUUUGUUGUCUUUGCCUUUUGUAAUCUCACAAAGGUUUAACAAAUCACGUAUCACCAUCACAAGAAAUCUGUUUUCCUGCCACAGUUGAUGCAAAAAAAUAAAAGUAAGAAAAUGGUGAAAAAGAAAAAGAACCACAAAACUGAAAGUUAUCCAAACACAAGGUCUCAUUUUGAGUAGAAAGAAGCCAGAAAAUAGUCACUCAGCGAAGAAAGACUAAAAAAUAGGAAAAAUAUACAGCAUAAAGCAAUACACUUGUUCCUCCAUCAUUGAUCCUAAUAUAGAUCCUAUUGCCCAGCACAAGGUAUUUAGGUUGUUCCACAUCCAAUCCUCACCAUUCAGCUGUUUACUUAACUUCCUCAGCAUCUGUUAACAAGAUUCAUCAUACACGUCAACACCUUUUUUAAAAAAAUUUUACAUGUCAACUCCUUGAACAAAUAUAGAAGAAAAUCAUAAUAACUAUAGCAGUUUCGACAAGGAAAGAUUUGAGCCCCAUCAUUCAUUUAUAACCAAGGUUGCCAUAGACUUCUAGUUCAGCUUGUCUCAACUAUGGAUAUUGGGUGGUUCUUUUAGUGAAGAUCUUAACAGCAUUGAAGUGACGAUCUUAAUACAUUCAAGUAAGUAAACCAAAGAAAGCAGAACAUUCAUUAGUCCAUGCCAAAAAUACCAUUCCUAUAAUUGCAUUAACAUGACUACAAGCAACUCGAUCACCAGGGCAAAUUAUAAUCUAAGUACACAAGAGAAAGCAUAUUAGUAGAAAACUUAUCUGAUUAUUCUCAUAAUCAGAUUGAAGAAUUCAAAAAAUCACAUCUGAUAUCUAGAAAUCAACCACUCAAUAUUUAUAGAUUAGCGCUUCAAUAUACAAAUGCAAGGAAUUCAUAGAGAAUCUAGGAUGCCAAGAACGAGCAAAUUAUCUCUGCCUUAUGACAAGAAUAAAAAAUUCUUACUUUGCAAUCUCCUGCUUAUCCUUUUUUUUUUUUAUCAGUAACAAGAAGCACCAGCAUAUAAUCCAUUAAACCCAGAAAAAAGGUGCUACCACAUGUUUUUAAGAAAUUCCUUAGAUUGAUUUGAAGACCUAGAGCAACCAAAACUAUAGAUAAGUCUCAAUCAACUACGUAUCUCAACAUGCAUAACUUUCAACUGCAACAUCUGAGAGCCUAAAUUGCAAAUAACAUAAUUCAGCUCUCAAGAAGGGUCUUAUCACUCACUCAAGUUCUGAGCUUUAUGCCAAUUCGCACCACCAAUUGCUAAUAAAAACCUAAAAUGGAUUUUGUCAAACAGUCCUUGAGUUCUCAGCUUUCUGGCAACCCAAAUCAUCAAUUCGUGGGUGGGAUGGGGGAAACAAGAGGGAUUAGCUACAACUUCGAGAAGACAAAAAGUUUUCGUCCAAAAUAGCCAAAUUUGAAGGAUUUCGAAUAGCAAUAAACGGGUUAAAGAGAUCCAAAAAUAAAUAAAUAAGAGAUAAGUAAUCCAACUUCAAGUGCUGAUAUACGUGUAACAGAUGUAAAUGAAACUGAGGAUAGCAAAUUCUUGCAGAAUUACAAAGAAAGAAGGAUACAAACCAAGUAGACGUCUAGCCAAAAUAUUCGCGCAGGGGAAAAAAAAAUCCCGGGCCCAGGCAAAAAGUGGGUGAGAAUUAGAUCUCUGCAGUGAAACUUAACAGGGGCGGCCUUCCCUUGUAGAAGGAACGUACACCAGCUGCAAAGAAAGAUCCAACAGGAUGAAACAAAAAAAUUGUUCCCAAAAAAAGAAAAAGAAAAGCUUAAAAUGGUACAAGUAAACGGCUGUGCUCAAACGGCCAGGUUAAGGGAGAUGAAAAAGGAAAAGCAAAAAAAAAAAAAUUGAUUGAAUGAGAAGGAUUCUAUCUCAGAUAGGAUUUGCGGUUUGCUGUGCGUUCUCUUCAUCUUCUUUCUCUUUUAUGUUUGUUUUUUUUCAAUUUUUUUUUUUUUGCAGUCAACGGGAAAUAUUACUACUAAUAUAACAUGGGAGCAAUAUAAAUAAUAUAAUACUGGUUUACUACUUCCCAUUUUUUCAAUCUGGCUCUCACCACCAAACUCAUCAGAAGGUCCACGGGACCAGCACGAUACCCCUCCCUGUCACCAAAUCUGGGCCUAUCCCCAUCAAACCUUGGUGGUCCGCGAGGGCGGUCACCAGGAGGUCCACCCAUAGGACGACCGAGGGGCUUGACGGACUUCUUAAGAGUAGCAGGAACAAUUUCAGAGGGAAGAUUGAGGUAAGUCCUCAGGAACUCGAUGCCGUCGUUCGUAAGAUACCAGUAGUAACACUAGGCGGCCUCCGGUGACCCGAUUGUGCAGCAGCUCCUCCUCCUGAUUAGGGAUUUUUGCUGCACCGAUCUAGGGAUUUUUGCUAUCUGCAACUCCACAAAAUCUACACAAAUCUUUUGGGUAGCUCAAAUUAGGGAUGAAAAUGGUGGCUCAAAGUGAUUUUUUGGAUAAUUUCAGUGUUAUGGUAUUGAACCAAUUAGCAGCAAUGGUGACAGAUUAGUUGCAGCAGAAGUGAAUUAACUCCUGACGAAUUUGAAUGGAACAGGGAAUGGAGAUGAUUAUUGGAGCUUCAACUUCUCAUUAACAAUAGGUAUGUCAAAUACAGGAACAGAAUCAACGGAUUUAGGAUUGAAAGGGAAAGAUUGAAGGAAUUAAGAGAGAAGAGAGGAGGAAGUUGGCAGGGCCAAUUCCACUUUACAAACAAUGGAAAUAAUAUGACAAAAAUCUAUGCUAACUCUCGGAUUCUUCAGCCUUUUAUGGCAUUUCCAGACUAACUAACUUGUAAACUAGCUAAUCAGGUGAGGCCACGUGGAAGUUCUGGAAUCAUCAGCUCCACUUGCGCCAAACAGAAGUAUAAUUCUGUUAUAUCAGGUAGAAGGCGUGAUUUGUAAGUCACGCCUUUCUUCAUCAAGUUGAGCAGCUGCGCCUUCAAUGCAAUCUAGAACACGCCUCCUGUUUAUUCUUCAUACUCCAUGACAGAGCCUCCCCCUUAAACAAUCCUUGUCCUCAAGGAUGUCGAACAAAGUUCCAAGCUUCCAAACAAAGUCUUCGGAUUGAUAUUUGGCAAUUCGCAGCAAGCAAGUAGUAUAAGAAAAUGGCAAAGCUUGCUGAUUCUUCUGUUUUAGCUGAGCAACAAGAGCUGAAAUUCUAGAAGUAGCACCACCAACCAUAUAUAAUCUUUUAAGAGCAACUUGAUCCGGAUAAUGCAAACCAAGGAAUUUCUCUACUGCCUUUAAAAGGUCUUGCAUGUUAGCAUCAACACACCCAAGCAAGGUUUGAAGUCCUGCUGUUACUCCUGGAUUUGAAACAGAUAGGAGAAUUCCUAUGUAGCCAUUACAGGCCAAGCCAGCCAGAAAUUGCAGACCAAAGUACCUAUUUGCAGAAAUUGCAGAAAUUGGUACCACUGUUCUAGUACCAAGUAAAGAGUUCAUGUCAAAUGAUGACUCAACUUCCAUCUCUUCCAUGUCAAUAGUGUCAUAUGUCAUCCGCUCCUCAAAUUUCUCAUCAGAACAAUUAAGGAACCAAGCAAGAGAACAUUUCAAACCCUUCUUUCCAAUCAUUGCAUGUCUUGGUUUAAUAGUUGACUCAAGACCAUAAGUGAAAAAGGCUGGGAAAGAAACCAAGUCAUCCAACGGUCUUGCCAUUUUUCCCUGGAAGUAAUCAAAGCUUACUUUCAUGACAUCAAGAUUUAGAGCAAGCAGUUGGGGACAGGCCAUCACCAUCUUUCUCACUUGUUCCAAGGAAAAUCCGCAUUCCUUGAGGAAAUCCAAAUGCUUCAAUAUGGCAGUAUUAUUGAGGCUGACAAUCUGUGGCAUCUUCUCUACAACUCUCCCAAAACCAACAGGAUCCAAUUGGAUGAUUGAAUUAAGAAAGUCCCUUCGAGUGCAAAGUCUUGUUUGAACAUCUACUCCUAUAAUUUCAGGAUACUGUGCAAUGACAGAUGCAAGCAACGAUUUCCUAACAUUGAACUCUAAAAGGGACUCAACAUUUGGCUUGAUCCUGUCUUCAAGUCCAAAUCCAAGAAUAAAAGGUCUUUUCUCUAUUAGUCUAGCUAUGGCUAAUUGUGGUAUUCCCAAGCUUUCUAGAUAAUCCACAAAUGGUUUGACUGUACGGCCAACUCUCACUCCUAAUAUUUGGGGGUAUCUAGUUAGUAGCCCACCAAUUUCUCUCCUUGCGACCCCUAUUCCAACCAAGUAAGCCACUAAAGUACUCAUGGUGCCUUCCAGCUUAAACCCCAAUACUUCAGGAUACUUCUCCAGAACCCGAGGAAUAUCAUUUGGCUUGAUAUCCAUUCCUUGAAGAUACUUAACUACCGGUGCAAGAUCGACAACAACACUAGAAUGGAGGACUUGUGGGUAUCUACGCAAGAAUUCUGUAAACGUAGAUUUUUUAACACCCAACUUGCCGAGGUAAUCAAGGACGGGAACCAUGUUUUUCUUGACACUGUAGCCAAGAACCAGUGGGUAAUUGUUUAUAUCCUCAACAGUGAGGCCUAAUCUGUGAAGAAAGUCCACACGUUCGCACAUUACAUCUACAGUGACAGGGAGCUCCAAUCCAUCAAGCUCAUCAGGGAAAACACCAAUUCCCCUCAAGAAAUCAUAAACAGGGGCUCGAUUGGCUGCCUUCUCACUCCUAAUCUGUGACAAACUAGGAUGAGCAUACAAAGAGGAAGAAGCCUUUUGCCUUUGAAGCCCUUCAUUACCAGAAUUGUCCUUGGACAAAGAUAAGUCUAGAGAAGUAGAUGAAACGGUUCUACCAGAAACUGAACAACUAAACCGCAUGAAUCUACAUCCAUUCAUGGAAGAAGAAUACAGUUGAGGCUUACAGAAGGAAAUGGCAGGCACGUCACAAAUGACAAGGGAGAAAGUAGGCCGGGCAAUGGCCCUGUAGCCUAUGAUCAUCAUGAUUGGUCUUUUAAAUAAAAUCUCAAUGAACUUUUGCUUUACCUCACGGCUGACCGAAGACCAAUUUCUGGGACAGUGGAGCGGUGAAGCAGAGUUAAAUAUUUCCUUGUCUAUAGAGCCUUGUUGCCAACCUAGCUCCCCUGUAAGCAAUUCAUAGCUAAGCCCUUGAGAGAUAACACAAUCGUUGUGAGCCAAUCUAUCACACACUUGGUUUUUAGCUUUUUCUUCUUGAUAUUCCCUUGCUGAUGUUUUAUGUUGGUUCUCCUCUAAAAAAUCCAUUGGAGUCCUUUGGCACAACCCAUCAAACAUGUGGCUGACUACACUUUCAUCCUUCAAGUUAGUGAUUAUAUCAUUGUGUUCAGCCUCUACACCCUCAUUUUCUUUCAUAAGCUGCUCUCCUUUUGGUGAAUCAAGAGCAGAAUCAUGCUUCUCCAUCACGGCUUCCUCGAUUUUUGCUCGGAGAUAUGCUUCAUACAAGAUCUUGGGUGGACUCCUAAAUCUCUUUAGCUUCAUCUGGAUAUUCCAAUCAAGCCCAAAGUUAAAACCAUCAAUAAAGUAUUCCUCACUGAGUUCUGGUUUCAAAGCCAACAUCUCGUUUCUCCACUCUUCAAAUUCCUCAUAGUACUCUACUACGUUAGUUGCUUGUUUAGGCUUAUUAUGCUCUACCAGGAAGUAAUUCAGCAUUUUAGAGAUUUCUUCAAGGGUCUUCAUAUAUAUAUAUAUAUAUUGAUUGGUCAGAAAAGAGAUGAAGAUGGAUAGGGAUGAAGGUGAAUCAGAAGUGAAGGAAAAAUUAGGAGGAAAGAUUUCUAAUCAAGCAGCCAAACCCAGACGGACCGUAGCUGCUCUGAUACCACUGUUAUGGUAUUGAACCAAUUAGCAGCAAUGGUGACAGAUUAGUUGCAGCAGAAGUGAAUUAACUCCUGACGAAUUUGAAUGGAACAGGGAAUGGAGAUGAUUAUUGGAGCUUCAACUUCUCAUUAACAAUAGGUAUGUCAAAUACAGGAACAGAAUCAACGGAUUUAGGAUUGAAAGGGAAAGAUUGAAGGAAUUAAGAGAGAAGAGAGGAGGAAGUUGGCAGGGCCAAUUCCACUUUACAAACAAUGGAAAUAAUAUGACAAAAAUCUAUGCUAACUCUCGGAUUCUUCAGCCUUUUAUGGCAUUUCCAGACUAACUAACUUGUAAACUAGCUAAUCAGGUGAGGCCACG
rnacentral:lncRNA from 1 species